rnacentral:lncRNA from 1 species
UUAAAUGUGGUUUUUUAUAUUUUUCAUAAAUUAGCAUGAUUAUAUUGUGAUUUAUCCGGAUACUUUACAUAUUGACUAAUGUUUAGAGUUAAAAUUACCUGCUAUUGGAUCUGUUGAUGGUUAUGUCAAUUCGUAAACGGAUAAUAUUUAAAAUAUAGUUAUGUAUGAUUGAGCUAAGAAUGGCUAUGUUCCAAUUUGUUCGUUUAACUCUAAUAAAACAAAAAAGUUGGUUACCAGAUGAUAAAAGUGUGAGUCCAUUAAAAAAAUUGUUUUCUAUUAUAUUUAUCCGGCUAACACUGUUUCUGAUAAUAAAAGGUUCUCUCAAAAUUUACCAUGUAUGUACAACAAAAUCAUGGUCGUCAAUAACACUCCUCAUUAAGUAAAGCUUCAAUCGGAAUCUGACGAAAUCAAUUAAAACUGAAAACAACAAAAAACUUUCGAAUUUAAAACAUGACAUACUACCAGCCAAAAGGUAUUUAAUUCCAGUUCUCAGCAAGAAGAGCGAUCUGGUGAAGACUCAUCCUUUUGAGAUUUGAGUAUCUCUGACCAUUCAGGCAACCAGUGGUGAUAAGGAGGAACACAAUCGGAGGCGGAGACACGAGCUCUGUGAGUAUGGAACCUCUCGUGAGAUAUUCUCAGAGAAUUUCGAUGGGACGAUCCAACUGAGGAAUGGGCAAACACCAGUCGAUGGAAACAAAGGGGAUUUAGAUGAAGAGGUAAUGGAAGAUGAAGGGAGGAGGAUGAAGAGAAAAGCAAGAGAGAGAGAGAGGGUGGAGCUGUUCAUCAUCUCUCUUUUUCGAUGUAAACAAUGUAAAUGUGAAAGAAGAGAAAUGAACAAUUUGUUUAUUUCAGAAACAAAGCAUAUAUCGAUUAUAGUGUUUUUUAUUGAAAAAAAACAUUUUCACUGUGAUAUAUCAAUAUAGGGGUAAAAGUGUCAUUAAAAAAAACGCAUCAUCCAAAAAAGGUCAAUUUCCAUCCCUGCAAAUUACAAGGUUAUGUUUGUAUAGGAGUCCCAAUUUCUCUUAAUUUAUAAAGUAUUAAUUUAAAGAGAUUAUAUUGUAUAUAUAUGAAAAACAAGAGUAUUACAUAUGUUGAAAUCACUCAUUAACUUCUUCUCUUGGUCAAAUCUAUAUAUAUUAUUAAAACAGAAGUACACUUAUAAAUUAGCCCUUAAAACUUAAAUUUAUUUACGUCUCAAUGCCACUGAAGUAAUAACUAAUUUAUCUUUAUCAUUAACUGUUUUUUCCUAAUUUAAUUGACAAUUACCUAAACUAAAUUUAUAACAAAUUCAAGAUAAAUUUAAAACUUAAUUAAUAUACCAUAAAUCAAGAUCCAUAUAUUUAGGAUCUCUAUAAUUGGUAAGUCUCUUUUUUUUGUCAUCAACAAAAAAAACUACCUAAUAAAUAAAUACAAUAACAAAUCUCCUAUAUAAUAAUUACUUUCCCAAAAUUUACUUUGUAUCAAUAUUUAUUAAAAAAUAAAUUUUACUAAUUAAUAAAAUAUAUAUAUAUAUAUAUGAAGUACUAUAGUCAUGUGUGUGUUUUUAUAAGUAAGACGCAUCAAAAUUUAAAUAUAAUUUUUAGAUUGAUACUGAAAAUUAAUUUUCAUAUUAUAAAGAUGAAUAGGUCUCACAUUUUGAUUUAGUUAUGUGUGUCAUCAGAUUUAGUCAAAUAGAUUUAUAUAAAGUCAAACAUGCAUCUAUAUAUAAUUGAUUUAGAAGAAAAAAACGGGUGUUUCAUUAAUUAAUAAAUAUGUCAAAACGUGAUAUAAGGUUAAUGUAAAACAAUAAAUAAUUUACAUAAACGUAAAAUAAUUUUUAAAAGCCACUUAAACGGAUUUAGGUAUCCGUUUAAUAAAUUUAGAAUACAAUAUCAUUUUAAAACUAUAUAGUUAUAUUUCCUAUUAUUUAUUAGUAAUAACUAAAAAAUAAAUUAAUCAUUUAUAGAAUAUAUAAAUAAAAUAUAAAUUAUUCAGUUAAUAUAUUAUUUGUAACAUAUUUUCAUAUAAAUAAAAGUUCACUGAAAGCUGAAUACAAUAAAUUUAUAUGUUAAAAAGUAUGGGUGAUAUAAUUGACUAUUAAAAAAAUAUAAAUUUAAUUACUCAAUAAAUAAAAUAACUAUUAUGUUUAAAAUUUUAUAUUAAACAUUUAUAUAAUAUACGUAAACAAUAAAUUUAUAUUAUUUUAUUUAUAAAAACGAAAAUUUUGCACUGAUCAAGCUCUAGUAGUCUUUUGUUACUUGGGCUUUCGCAAUAACACUUAGGAGAUAGUGGAAAAAUUCAAAUCUUACAACAAAAAUGGUGACUCAGCCACAUAUGCUAUUCUCUUUGUUUCAUAUUAGUUGAUGUUUUAAGAUUGUAUUUUUGUUUCAUUCUAUUUCUUUAAAAGAUUUCUAUGCAAAACCUAAAUGUUGUUUGGUAUAUUUAACCAAUCAUAUUCUAUUGAAUUAUUUUUAUUUGUUAGAUUGACUUUAACUAAUGAAAAAUGAAAUAAAAUUAAUAAUUUCAUAAAACGUGACCUUAAAACAUCAACUAAUUUUAUUUAUUUUAAAAAACAUCAACUUAUUUGAAACAGAGGGAAAUAAUGAAAAACAUAAUCAUAUGAAGGAUACAAAGUCUGAAGACUCAAACUUAUUACUGAACUUCAAUUUUAUUUGUUUUGGUGGUUGGGAUUAAGCGUGUGGCUGAUACGAGAAGCCAUUGACCGAAAGACCUCCAUCAACGCAAAUGGUCUGACCCGUUAUGUAAGAAGCUGCAGGCAUACAAAGAAAUGCCACCACCGAUGCUACCUCCUCUGGUUUUCCUAUGCGCCCAAGGGAUUUGUUGAUUCUACCACUUUUUUAAAUUCAUCAUCAAACGCCUACAAAUCAUCAUCCAAUGCGCAAGAAAUCAAAAUAUCAUCAAAUUAAAAUGAGCAUAUCUUCAAAAAAUAAUUGUAUCUCACAUUAUCAACCAGUGGAGUGGCAAUGAAUGUAGGAGCUACAGAAUUAGCUCUUAUGCUGUCGCUCGCCCACUCGCAUGCCAAAUUCCUUGCUAGCUGAUUCAUUGCCCCUAUGUACACACAUAUUAAUGUGUUAUAAAACCUGGUUUGUUUACCGUGUUGACAUUCAUAUUUUGUGUAGCAGAACACAUUCUUUGCUUUUUUGAGCGGUGAAUUUUAUAGGUCUAAGUUUGUUUAUGACGUGAACAUGAACGAACAAGUUAAAUUUCAAACAAUAUAGGUCUAAGUCUGAUCUCUAUUCCUACUGGAACAAAUAUCAUAGAACAUGAUUGGCAUAGAAAUAUAUUGAAAAUAUUCAAAUCCAACAAAAAGGUAAUGACACAAUCCAUAAAGGUCAAAUUGGACUCUCUAAAAAAGAGAAAGAGCAACAAUACAAAUAACUAAAUAAUCUCUAUUAAUUCUUCAAUUUUUGUAUAUAGAGUAACUUUCAAUAUAUCAUUCUUUAUUUAAAAAUGAAUAUUUAAAUUGUAUUUAAUUAUUAAUGCCUAUAAUUAAUAAAAUUUUCAAAAAAUAAAAUUUAUUUAAUUUAAUUUUUAUUUAUUUAUUUAUUUUAAAAUAUAUGAUAACAGCUUGUAAAUAAUUCUUUCUUUUAUUUAUAAGUUUGAAGUCAUUUUAUAAUUUACAUGUAUGAAAACUCAUCUUAAUUAAAUAUUUGAUUUCAAGUAUAAUAUUUGGGAUCGGAUCAAGUAUUUAUUUUGAGGUAUGCAUUUUCUUGAGAUAUAAAGAUAAUUAUAGAUAAUUUCUACUUUAAAUGUAGUUUAAAAUAUAAUACAAGUGGAUUGAAUUUCAAACUGAAUAAUAAUAAUAAUAAUAAUAAUAAUAAUAAUAUUUAGUUAGAUGAAUAGUGGAGAAAUCUACCUAAUAAUGUCUCAAAUAAAAAAAAGUUUGGAUGAAUUUUACCAUUUGCUAUAGAUCUAUUUAAUUCAUUUUAUUUGAGAUAUCUAUGUUAGAUACUUGUGCGCGUUAGAUAUUCUUCAAAACCAAUCAUAAUACUUGGUUGUCGAGAGCUUAGAGCAGCAUUAACGCAAGGGGAGGAAGAGUGGGUUAAAAAAAAAUUUUUAUUAUUAUUUUUUUUGUUUUGUCCGAUUUAAAAAAAAAAGUUGACCAAUCGUGGACCGCCACGUAUUAGUGGGAUCCGCGAAAAGUGAUAAAAUCCUCACAAACUAACCUUUUACGGAAAAGGUAGAAGAUGCAGGUUUUAAUUAAUAGUAGGACCCACAUAAUUUUAAAUUAUUAUUUUUUGGAAGAAUCAGUCUUUAAGAGGCACCGAUAUUAAUGCUCUUACUACCCAUGAUUCUCAGCUAUGCCCUAUAAGGCCGUCCAAGGGCCAUCUAUCGUUAUACGGAAGCAUGACAUACCGAAUUUCAUAGUUCGGUUAAUUUAGACGGCAUUACCUAUUUUGGAAUCUCUUACUUAUAUUAAAAAGACAAUUAUUUUACUGGGCAUGUUGACAAAGAUCAAUACUCAAAUUACCUGUAAAGUGUGAAUGAAUUCAUAUGUUUAUACCGAAGGUUUGUACCAGUGCGGGAGAUAAACGUGUGGCCGUUGUAUUUUAUUGUCCAAACUAUUUAAACUUAUAAUGUAAUUUUUUGUUCCACAUCCGGUUUGAACAAAAAAAAUCAUCUCAAUAUAUACAUUUGAAAUGAUAAUAUUUAUUUUAGCUUAAAAAUAAUUAAAAUUAUAUAAAGUUACGAUAUAUAUAUUUUGGCUUUAUCUUUAAUUACUAAAUAUUCUAUUUUUAUUUGUAUUUACUGUGUAUAUACUCCCUACAAUGUUUGUAUAUACGUUCACCAUCCGGCUAACACAUAUCAUAUUUUAGAACACUGACGAUCUAGUGUGAGCUGUCGUAACAAGACUCACACACAGAGAGGGGUUUUGGACUUUUUCUGAUAUUUGGUUUUGGUUUCUUAUUGAGUGAGUCAGUAUCACAGUAUCACGGUGAAAAUUAUUUUAUUGAGCUGAGUGGUUUUUUGGUUUCACUUUUUGAUUAUUAUAUAAGGUGAAAAUUUAAAAAUUAUUAUAUUUGCACCCAGUGAUCCAGUUAUAAACUUUAUGCACCUAGUAAAAGCUACAUCUACGUUCGCGACUGGUCAGUAUGUACCUUUUGUGGCACUGUAGAUGGAGCUGAUGCCAAGUGAGACGACCCCAGAAACGGAGGAUAUGAACACGAUGUUACCACACCCUGAAGCCUUGAGCAGAGGAUGUGCAAGCUGGCUAAAAUGAUACGCAGAUUCCAAGUUGGUCGAAAUGUGGAACGAGAAAUCCUCAGCCGUAUGCUCUAUUGUUGGCUUUGACCGGAUUGCGCCAGCAUUGUUGAUCUAAUAACAAGAAUACAACCGGAGACAUGAAUCAGCCAAUUUUUAAAAAAGAUAAUCUGCCAAAUUAAAAGUGUUACACUUGAUCUGUCCUUCUUAGGACAACACAAAAUUAAAACAAUCAAAUGAUAUAGGGUGGAGAUUAAUUACAAGGAUACUGAGCUUGGCAUCAAACAAAGAGUACACAGUUUGCAUCAGCUUCUCUCUUUCGGUCCAGGACGAUACGUCACAGACUGAACCAGUGACUUGAAACCCUUUAUUCUUCCAUUUGCUUAAACACUCGUUGAGAUGUGCAUCGUCUCGAGCACAUGUAUGUAUUGUUACCCCAAAUCCUGCAAGUUCCUCUACUAUAGCAUGCCUAAAAAUUUCAAAAAUCAACAGCAUAUAUUAAAAAGAAUCUGUCACCAUUGCUUUUAAGAUGUAUACCGAAAGAAGAGGGGUUUACGAACCCAAUGCCUUUGGUUCCACCGGUGACAAGUGCGGUCUUGCCUUGAAGGCUCCAUCUACGUCUUUGCCCUUCUCCAGCCAUUCCCCUCAGAUAAAAGUAGAUGAUGUAAUAAGAAUACUUGUGUUGGUUGAUUAUAUAUAUAAGUAAAAGUUAAGGCCACGUCCACACAAAUUUGAAGUGGAUGAUGUUAUGAGAUUUUGUGGUGGUUAAUUACAUAUAAUUUUUUCUUUUUGAUUACAUAGAAUUAAGUAAAGACUACAUAUCAAUGUUUUGAACGUGGAACAUUAAGCCAGAAGGUAAAUUUUGACCCGCUUGUUCUUGUCGGUUGACUUUAAGAAGGCAAACUAUCAAUAAUAAAAUGUCUAGCUAGGAACCAAAAGUUUUUUUUGGUUGAAUUAAUUUAACAUUCUUUAAAAAUAAAAUGUCUAGGAAUAACCAUUAGUAGAUGAACAUAAUCUCGUUAUCAUUUCUAGGUAAACUAAAAAAUGUCUAGGGAAAAAAAGAUUACCAGAAAAUAAAUGUUUAGGAAAAAAAUGUCUAGGAAAUAACAUGAGUAGAUUAGCUUAAAUCUUUUUUUUUAAUUCAUGUAAAUUUUUUUAAUUCAUGUAAAGCUAUGAAUCUCCAAAACAAUGUCACUCUAUAACUUCAAAUAUAAAGUUUUUUACUCUAAAAAAAAACUAGUGAAACUCUAUAUUUGAAGUUUCACUUCUCAGAACUUUAAAUUUAAGUUUCAUAAUUUUAUUUGCAUUUUGGUCUUUACAAUUACACAUCACAUAUAUAUUUUUUAAAUAUUUUCUCGUUUAUCGUAUUAAUCCUAAAAAAAUUCAUAUCUCAUAAAUUUUUUUUUUUAUAAAUGUAAGUUUUACACAUAAAAUUAAAUAAACUUUAAAAUAAGAUUUAAAAUAUUUUAAAACUUGAUUUAGAAAACAACAAUACACAAGAAACUUAACAACAAAAAAUCUUUUCAAAAAUUACAUAAAGACAUAACUAUUAUACAAAUUUAAAUAUUACAACACUAGUAGUCAUAUAAAUUUGAUCCAGAACCUCCAAAAUCUCCAAAAUAUUUUUCAAACAAAUUUUAUGUAACCGAAGAUGGUUGUUGUUUUGAUUUCUAUUUCGUACGAUUCUUUUUUAUCAGAUCGAAUGUAUUCACUUAGUUUUAAAGUCAUUGAUAGAAGUUAAGUAUUUUAGCAAUAUUUAUUUUCUCCUUUUACUUUCUUGUUUAGAUCAAAUGUAUUUACAAGUUUAAGAUCACCUGAUUUCAGCAAUUUUUAGUUUGUGAUUUACAAAUUAAAAAUAAAGAGAGUCACUUUUUACUUCGAAAUAUACUAGGUGAUCAUAUAUGCAUUAUGAAAAUAGUUUUAUGGAAUAAUAUGGUAUUUUUUAUGUUUAAUAUUAAUUAUGUUAUUUCUAUUUAAAAUUUUUAUUUUAAUAUAAUAUUUUAUUAGUUAAUACUGUUGUAAUAUUUUUAUAUAUGUGCUUAGUUAUUUACAAAAUUUGUAUGAAUUUAAAUUAAUUAUGAAAAAUAUAAAGACUAUAAGAUAAAAUACAAAUAGUUUUGAAGUUAAGUUUCAAGUUUUACUUUUUAAAAAGAACAUUUUUAAACUGUAGAAUUUUGAAAACUUCUUAAUAGAAUGCGUUUUUGGACAUGUUUCUGAUAUGACAUGAGGGGGCAGUAGGGGAGAAGCCACAACCAACACAUUGUUUGCAUACCCACUACUUUUUCAAUUUUUGUUUAUUCUGUAAGGUAAAAUGGUUGAAAUUAUCAGAUAAGAUAAGAAACUCUCUUUGUUUUAUAAGCUUAACGCACCCAGAAAAUCUUAUGUCUAGAUUCGCCCCCCAUUUUCAUGGUUCACCAUUAAAAUUGAGACAGUUAUUAGGCCAUCUUCGAUAUAUUCUUUUAUUUUUUUGUAAAAAAAAAUAAAAAUAAAGACAAAAUUUUGAUGUACUGUAUUUCUUUAAUUUUUCUAUAAAAGAAAAUAUUCUUAAAAUUUCUUUUAAUAUUACAAAUGACACUUUUUACUCAUAAAUUUUAAAAAUUAACUCAUUCACUCUAACAAAAUAUUUUCAUAAAAUUACAAUAUUUUUUAAACUAAAUUUUUAUUUCAUAAAAGAUACACAACAUAAAAUUAAUAAAACAAAGCAGACAUUAUCUAACCAACACUAUUAUUAUAUUUUCUCAUACGUAAUUAACUAAUGCAUUUCAAAGUCAAAAAUGAACUUUUUCUUUAAUUUUUUUAAUCAACAUAGAAACUUCUGGAAUCGACUAUUUUCAUCAUGUGGUGUUUAAAUUUCUGGAGGUGGAGUUUAUUUUCUAACUCCAAUUGGAAACAAAAAAAUCCUUAUAAUGAACACAUGCAAAAUUUUAAUUUAUUUCAUUAUGUAUUCAUUGAUUCACCAUUUCCAUUUUAAAUCAUUUAAAACACUAUUUGUUCUGUUUCUUCAAUUCAUAAUGAAUGAGCACAACUGACACAUUACUUUUCAUCCAUGAUUACUAAGAACAUUAACAUGUUAGAACCAAAUCCAAAUGCUUUGCUACUAAUGUAAGAGAAUUAUAUGCGGAAGUGUGUUAAACCGGAUACAUACCUUAAUCCGAUUUAACGAUAAAUAUCACUUGGUACGAGUUGGAAAUAGAUACAAUAGUCGGGAAAAAAAUCACGGAAAAAAAUCAACCACUUUGUUAUAAACCAUAUUUGUGGAUGUCCAUAACCGGCCCGUCCAUACCCGGUCCAAGCGCUGGAGAGAGAGACGGUGGAGAGAGAGAGUCGGCCGUUUUCCUUUUCCUCAUAGGCGGCUACUUUCCUAUUUACAUUAGACUUAUGAUUUGUACUAUUUCCUUUCUAGUCUUUCCAUUAUUUUAUGACGAUUUAUCUCUCUUGUAAUUCCCUAUAUAUAAAGGGCACAUUAUGUUUAUGAUUAAUAAGAAUACAGAACUAUUCCCCUAAGUUUCACAGCAUGUUAUCAGCACGAUUCUCUAAAACCCUAAGCUAAAAAUCCCGACCUAAACCCUAGCUCUCGGCGAUAAACCCUAACCGGCGUAAACCUCCAUCCCGGCGUGAACUUCAUCCCGAUUGCAAACCCUAAUCCCGAUCCUUGUUCGCGACCCGAUCUCAGCUCGCGACAAACGGUCUCGGCUUGUUCCAGCUCGCGACGAUCUCAGCAAGCAACCUGUUCGCGACCAGAUACUCAGCUCGUUCGCAUUCCCGAUCUCAGCUUCAAUCCGUUUGCGACUCGAUCUCAGCCAGUUCGCGACCUUCUCUUGUUGGUGGUCCAUUCAACCCGAUCGGAGGUUAAGGUAAUCAUUCAAACCCUAAAUCGAAAACCUAAUGAUCUAAGAUCAAAACCAUAAAACCUUAAUCAUGUUAUGAUAAACCCUAAUCAUGUUCUACAUGUUAAAAUCGAAACCCUAAAACAUUAAACCCUAACCGCAUGUAUGCAUAUUGCAUACUAUGCAUGAAAUCUAAAACCCUGAUGCUAAGACAUGAUUCGAUCUUAUUCAAAACCUAGCUAAUGUUUUCUGAAAUGGAAAUUGAUUGAUUGAUUGAAUAUGUUCACAUAGAACCGUAUGCUAGGCUUGCUAAACUCAUGCUUGAAUCUGAUUGAUUAAUUGAUAGAAGCCGACUUAAUGUUUUCUAAGAUUGAAACCACAUGCUAGAUUGAUUCUUUGAAACCGUAUGCUAAACUGAAAUCGAAACCCUAAUGUUUGAAAUUAAGUGUUUUUUAAAUUGAAACCUAAUUGAAUCACUUAGAUAGAAUAUAUGAUCCGACUGAAUGAACCCCUUGAUGCUUGUUUUGAUUGUUUGAUUGCGGUUACUCUUAUGAACACUUAGAAACCAUAUGCUAGGAUUGCACCAUACAUGUAUAACCGAAUGAACAUUUAGAUCUCGUAUGCUAGGCUGUAUAACCGUAUAAACAUAUAGAAACCGUAUGCUAGAUUUGAACAUAUCUUGUUUGGCCGUGAGGCUUGUUUGAUGAACACAUCCGUAUGACUUGUUUGCAUCAUUACCAUAUGAACUGAUUGCAUCAUAUUCACAUAAACAUUAUAACUUUUAAAGAUCUAAAGCAUAAAAUAUAUGAUUUCAGAUGUCGAAAAUCAACAACUUGGAUUUUGCUACUUACAAUGGGCACUUGAUGCUAAGUUCAUCCUGAAAUCUAAGGGACAUGGUGAAUGUAUCACCGAGGACAAUAAUGCAAGUGAGAAAGAUAGAUACAGGGCUAUCUUGAUUAUACGCCAUCAUCUUACUGGGAGUCUCAAAGAUCAGUAUUUGACAAUUGAGAAUCCCUUAGACCUUUGGACAGAAUUAAAAGCAAGAUAUGAUCACCAAAGAACGGUGAUAUUACCAAAGGCUAUGUAUGAUUGGAGGAAUCUCAGAAUCCAGGACUACAAGUCCGUGGAUGAGUAUAACUCAGCCCUAUUUAGGAUAGUUUCUAAAUUGAAAUUGUGUGGUGAGGAUAUAACGGUUAAGGAUAUGCUAGAAAAGACCUUUUCCACCUUCCACACAAGCAAUGUGUUGUUACAACAACAAUACUGUGAGAAGGGCUUCACAACUUAUGCUAAUCUGAUCUCAUGUCUAUUGCUCGCUGAGCAAAACAAUAAAUUGUUGAUGAGAAACAGUGAAUUGAGACCUCCUGGAUCAACCCCACUACCUGAAGCACAUGCGGCCACAGAGGCAAAGAAAGAAUCUAACCACGUCCAGAACAAUAGCCAACACGGCCGUGGCCGUGGAAAAUGGCAAGGACAUGGUCGUGGCCAAAACUCUUUUGGUCGUGGCCGUGGCCACUACAACUCCUUUGGUCGUGGCCAAGGAACUUGUUUGGACGUGGUCAUGGCCGAGGCCGUGGUAUCUCCUUUAAACCACAAAACUCGACCAAAUCAGUGUGCCAUAGGUGUGGAAUGAGUAACCAUUGGGCUAAGACAUGUAGGACUCCCAAACAUCUUGUUGACCUCUACCAAAAGAGUUUGAAAGGGAAGAAUCCUGAAGCCCAUAUGACCUAUCAAGAUGGUGAAGAUGAUUUUAAUCAUGAACGAGACGAUCUUAUAGAUUAUGAAACUUCAGAUUGUCUAAAAGAAUCAAGUUGAUUUCGACAUCAAACUUUUGUGUUCUAUUGCUUUGUGCUUUCUAUGUUUUUUAUUAUUGCUUUGAACUUGUUUUAUUAAAACUUAAUGAAUGAAUGAUUUUUGAUAUGAAGUCUCUAAAGUAUCAUUCUAUAAUCUUGUUUUGAAGAAUGAAAAAUAACAUGGAUAUAUUCGUGGUGGACAGUGGCUCAAGCCACACGAUCUUAAGAGACAAAAGAUACUUCAUAAAUCUAACACUUAAGAACGCCAACAUAAGUACCAUAGAAGGUAUAGCCGGCCUAAUAGAAGACUAUGGCCAGGCAAACAUAUUGUUGCCUAAGGGUACGCGUCUAAAGAUAUCUGAUGCAUUAUAUUCACCGAGCUCAAAGAGAAGCCUAUUGAGUUUUAAAGAUAUCCGAAUGAAUGGCUUCCAUAUUGAGACUAAGGGCGAAGGAAACAAAGAGUUCCUUCAGAUCAUUGAAAUCGCCCAAGGCCAUAAGAAAGUCUUAGAGACUAUACAUGCGCUCUCUACAGGUCAUUACUAUGCCAAAGUCAAUAUGAUAGAGGCCAAUGCCACAUUAAACAAAGUGGCCACCAAAAAUUUCACUCUUUGGCACGACCGGCUUGGCCAUCCCGGUUCGAACAUGAUACGAAAAUUGAUAUUGAAUACAAAUGGGCACACAUUGAAAGAAAGAAGAGUUAUCCCUAAGAAUCUCACGUGUGUAGCAUCUUCACAAGGGAAACUCAUUGUUAGGGCAUCACCAGUUAAAGUGACUAAGGAAACAAUAAACUUUCUGGAAAGAAUACAAGGAGACAUCUGUGGACCAAUACACCCACCUUGUGGGACAUUCAGAUAUUUCAUGGUUCUCAUUGAUGCGUCCACGAGAUGGUCGCAUGUAUGUCUCUAAUCAACCCGCAACUUGGCGUUUGCGAGGUUACUUGCUCAGAUAAUUCGUUUAAGAGCUCACUUUCCAGACUUUCCUUUAAAGACUAUACGUCUUGCUAAUGCUGGUGAAUUCACGUCCCAAGCUUUUAAUGAUUACUGUAUGUCCAUGGGGGUAAGUGUAGAACAUUUUGUGGCACAUGUAUAUACACAAAACGGCUUGGCCGAAUCCUUUAUCAAACGCAUACAGCUAAUAGCUAGACCGUUACUUAUGAGAUCAAAACUCCCGGUCUCAGCUUGGGGAGAUGUGGUUCUAAAUGCGGCCGAACUGAUACGCAUCAGGCCAUCUAGUGAACAUAGAUAUUCCCCAUCACAAUUGUUCACGGGUCACGAGCCAGACAUAUCCCAUCUUAAGACAAUUGGAUGUGCCGUCUAUGUACCAAUUGCACCAACACAGAGAACAAAGAUGGAUCCUCAAAGGAAGAUGGGGAUAUAUGUUGGAUAUGAUUCUCCCUCAAUAAUUAAGUACGUUGAGCCAACUACGGGUGAUUUGUUUAAGGCCAGGUGUGCGGAUUGUCACUUUGAUGAAUCCGACCAUCCAACGUUAGGGGAAGACAAUAAUAAGCUGGUAAAAGAAAUUACAUGGAAUCAAACAUCCUUAUCCUGGCAAGAUCCUCGGACUCAGGAAUGUCAUUUAGAAGUCUAAAAGAUAAUACAUUUACAAAAGCUAGCUAAUCAAUUGUCAGAUUCCUUUGAUGACCCAAAGAGAGUAAGAAAGUCAUAUAUACCAGCUGCUAAUGCACCAAUUCGUAUUGAUGUUCAAGAGGGACACAAUCAAGUUGCUACAGAGUCUAGAACACGUCUGAAACGUGGUAGACCAAUAGGUUCCAAAGAUAAGAAUCCUCGGAAAACAAAGAAAGGUGCUGAAUCUGAGGCCGAAACCCUAGACAUGGCCGUGGCCGAACCUAAUACCCGAGACAUAGCCGCGGCCGAACCUAAGGCCCUAGACAUGGCCGGUCCUAAGGUGCCAAAUAAUGAUGCUUGGGACGCCAAGCUUCAAGGUACUGGAGGUCCUGAUAAUAAUGAGAUAUCAAUCAAUUAUGUCUUGUCUGGGAUACAGUGGAACAGAAAGAAUGUCGACAUUGAUGAUAUAUUUGCAUACAAGCUAGCACUUGAAAUCAUGGAUAUAAACAAGGAUCAUGAACCCACAUCUAUCUUAGAGUGAACUCAACGAUCAGAUUGGAUUAAAUGGAAAGAAGUUAUAAACGUGGAGUUAAACUCUUGUAAGAAAAGAGAUGUCUUUGGUCCAAUAAUCCGGACACCUUAUGAUAUCAAACCAGUUGGAUACAAAUGGGUCUUAGUGAGGAAAAGGAAUGAACAUGGUGAAAUCUUGAGAUAUAAAGCACGGCUUGUUGCACAAGGAUUCUCACAGAGACCAGGAAUAGAUUAUGAGGAGACAUAGUCUCCUGUGGUGGAUGCUACUACUUUUAGAUUCCUAAUAAUUCUGGCUAUAAGAGAGAAAUUAGACUUGCGGUUAAUGGAUGUAGUAACUGCAUACUUAUAUGGUCCACUGGAUAAUGAGAUAUAUAUGAAAGUACCAGAGGGUAUUGAAUUGAAAAAAAAAAUCGAGUUCUCGAGAACAACAUUGUAUAAAGUUGAACAAAUCACUUUAUGGAUUAAAACAAUCAGGUCGAAUGUGGUACAAUAGACUGAGUGAGUACCUAGUGAAAGAGGGCUAUAAGAACGAUCCGAUCAGCCCAUGUAUAUUCAUAAAGAAAUUCGGUCAGGGCUUUGUGAUCAUAGCAGUGUAUGUUGAUGACCUGGAUAUUCUAGGAACCUCUGGAGAAAUCUCCCAAACAGUUUAAUAUCUUAAGAAAGAAUUCGAGAUGAAAAAUUUAGGAAAAACAAAGUUUUGUUUGGGAUUACAGAUUGAGUACAUUAGAGAUGGAAUCCUUGUGCAUCAAAUGGCAUAUACGGAGAAAGUACUCAAACGUUUUAAUAUGGCCGAGUCUCACCCAUUGUCUAGCCCCAUGGUCGUGAGAUCUCUUGGUCUGGACACAGAUCCAUUCGGCCCUAAGAAGGACGAUGAAGAAUUCCUUGGUCCUGAAGUGCCAUAUCUCAGUGCCAUAGGAGCUUUAAUGUAUCUGGCCAGCCACACUAGGCCAGACAUAUGUUUUGCCGUGAACCUACUGUCUAGGUUUAGCUCAUGUCUGACUCAAAGGCACUGGAACGGGAUUAAACAUAUUCUUCGUUACCUACAAGGAACGAAAGACUUGGGUUUAUUUUAUCCUAACCAAACCAAAGAAGGGUUAGUUGGUUUUGCUGAUGCAGGUUAUCUCUCGGAUCUGCAAAAUGCUCGAUCACAUACAUGCUAUGUCUUUACACAUGGUGGUACAGCCAUAUCAUGGUGUUCCAUGAAGCAAACGAUCGCGGCCACAUUGUCCAACCAUGCGGAGAUAUUGGCCAUUCAUGAGGCCAGCCGCAAGUGUGUAUGGUUACGGUUCAUGACCCAACAUAUUCGAGUUGAUUGUGGGAUGUCCGAAGGGAAAGAUGCACCGACCAUCAUGUACGAGGACAAUGCCGCAUGCAUAGCUCAGCUCAAGGACGGUUACAUCAAAGGAGACAUGACGAAACACAUCCGGCCUAAGUUCUUCUUCACGCACGAGUUACAGAAAGCCGGCGAAGUCCAAGUGGUACAAGUGCGUUCAAGUGACAACUCAGCUGAUCUAUUCACCAAGUCACUUCCAACAUCAACAUUCAGGAAGCUUACGCAUCAGAUUGGGAUGCGUCGACUGAAAGACCUUCAGUGAGGUACAUAACAGGGGGAGUAAUACGUGUUGUACUCUUUUUCCUUCACCAUGGUUUUGUCCCACUGGGUUUUCCUGAUAAGGUUUUAAUGAGGCAACAUCCAAAGCGUAUUACAAUCUCUAUAUGGUUAUGACAGCCAAGGGGGAGUGUUAUAAACCAUAUUUGUGGAUGUCCAUAACCGGCUCGUCCAUAACCGGCCCAAGCACUAGAGAGAGAGACGGUGGAGAGAGAGAGAGUCGGCCGUUUUCCUUUUCCUCAUAGGCGACUACUUUCCUAUUUACAUUAAACUUAUGAUUUGUACUAUUUCAUUUCUAGUCUUUCCAUUAUUCUACGACGGUUUAUCUCUCUUGUAAUUCCCUAUAUAUAAAGGGCACAUUAUGUUUAUGAUUAAUAAGAAUACAUAACUAUUCCCCUAAGUUUCACAGCACACUUGUAAAUGUCGUUCUGGUUCUCUUGAAUUUUCUGUAGAAUUCUAACAACAGUCCUUAAUUCUAACUCUCUCUUUUUACAGUGUCUCACAUAUAUAUAGACAACCAAGAACUAAAUUGCGAAAGUUACAUAUAUUCAACAAAGAAACAAAUAUGUUCAACAAAAGAUUAGGAGUUGUAAAAAUAAUUUUCCAUAAAUACCGAUAUUGUAUGCUUCCUAAUUAUGGAGCUAGCUGACAUAAACUAAUAAAAAGUUUCAAGUGAACAAGGCUCGAUGGAUCACAGAACAAGAUUGAUCUUGAUAAAUUCUUGUUGCUUAAACACUGCACAAUCUUGGGACUCUUAUCGCAUGAUCCAAAGGAUAAGGUGAUCGAGUUGUCAUUUUUCCGGAGGGGCAACCAGCAAAAUCAUGCCAAUUCAAGUUUGAUGGAGGACUUGAUACUCGCAUUACAAACAUUUCAAAUGCCCAAUUUAUAAUAAGUUAUGAUCCAUCAAUUGUUCAAGAAAGAUAUGUUUAUCCAGAUUGAAUAUGAUCUAUGAUUGUAUUUUAUAACGGUUCCUACAAUACAUUUAUGUGUGUACCAACUACCAAUAGUUUUAGAGUCUAGCUUACAGGUUCUGGGCCUACCAAAGAGUUUUGUUAUUUGUGAACUUGUUGAACAGUCUAAGUUGAAACAUGAAAAGGCCUUCUCAGAUCGUCUUAUUAAUAGAAAUACAAAGGGUUCAAAUAAAAGGUCAAAGAAACAGAGCAAAUCAGGGUUUUUGCUUCAAUCACAAACCCCAAAACACAAAGAGAUUAAAAGAAAGCCUCAAACCACAAACUCCGGCAGUAUCAACCCGGUAAUUGCUUAAUAAACUGUAGAAAACACAAACUUGAAGCCCCAGAGAACCAGAUUCAAGUUAUAUUAUUGUCAUAUUUCUUCAAGGAUUCCAAAGAAGUGUAGUCUCUGCAAUCAUGGAAGUUACAGUGUAAGGGUCCAUGUUGGAAGCUGGCCUCCUAUCCUCAAAGUAUCCUUUCCCUUCCUUCUCCGUGUCACGUCCUACACGGAUUGAUGCUCCACGGUUUGCAACACCCUUUUAACAAAGAUUCAAAAAAAAUUAACACAAAGUUCAGUACACAAAAAUGUUAUCAACUCUUUAAAAAAUUUAAAUGUUUACCCAUUUGAAAGUGUUGAUGUCAGCAGUUUCAUGGUGUCCGGUGAGACGACGCUCGUUGCCUUCACCGUAAGCAGAAAUGUGCUCCUUGUGUCUCAGUCCGAGCUUAUCAAUUGCCUUCUUGAUUAUCUCGUAUCCUCCUUCCUCCCUCAUCGAUUUAGUACUGAAAAAGUCAUUUACCAUAUUUCAGAUUUUUUCUUUCCAAAAGAACAAAUUAUAUAACAAGCUUAAGUUGCAUGAUCCUUUUACCUGUAAUUGGUGUGAGCACCAGCUCCGUUCCAGUCACCCGGAAUUGGUUUUGGGUCAAAAGAUACAACCACACCAGCAAUCUCUGUGAUCCUCUGUUUUUUAAAACCACCAAAAAAUUGUACUCAAGUUUAUAUUCCAUUAGGAUAACAACAAGAAUUAAGAGUGGAUGAUGGUUGAAUGAUACCUCCAAAAUGUAACGAGCAAUCCACACUUCAUCAGCAGCUGAGAUACCAACCGAUGGUCCGACUUGGAACUCCCACUGUCUCAACAAAAAAAAAAAUGAUUUGGUCAUUACUACAUUAUGCAAAAAGAUUUAAUUCUGUUGGAUCUUGAAGUUAUACCUGACCAGGCAUGACUUCUCCAUUGAUUCCACUGAUGUUAAUUCCGGCAUACAAACAAGCCUUGUAGUGAGCAUCAACAAUGUCUCUUCCAAAAGAUUUGUCAGCUCCAACACUGCAGUAGUAUGGUCCCUGAGAAAGAUAGUUUUUGUAUAAACAUUAGAAGCUGAGAACAGAGAAUUGAACAAGAACUCUGAAAACGGAAUAUACCUGAGGGCCGGGGAAUCCACCAAUGGGCCAUCCAACAGGCCACUUCACAUCUUUCUGCAACAGAGUGUACUCUUGUUCGAUUCCAUACCUAGUAUGCAGAGCUAAAUCAGACCGCAAGAAACCAAAAAAAUAUAUAACGAAAACAGGAACAGGGGAAUUUGGGUUAACCAUGGCACUUCAGCAACAACAUCAGGGUUGCUAAAGAUCUGAGCUGCAGCAUGUCUCUUGUUCGUAGGGAUUGGUUCACCCGCAGGGGUGUAAGUAUCACACAUGACCUAACCAAACCGAUAAAAAACGUUAUCAUUAACUGCCAAAACAGAACAUGCGCAAGAAAACCAAAGUUUAACAACUCACAAGAAUGUUGUUGCCUCUACGGAACGGAUCUUUGAAAAUCGCUUGAGGGCUAAGGAACACAAAUAAAAAGGAAGGUUAUUAAGCAAAAAAAAAAUAAAAGAUGAGUUUGAAAUAGUGAUAAAAGUUGAGAAAAGGCCUUACUAUAAGAUCACUUCACUGUCUUCACCAGGAGCUUGGCCAGUGCUUGAACCAUCAUAAUUCCAUUUUGGGAGCUUUGAUGGAUCGGUCACAGGUCCAGGGAGAGUCUGCAGGUAAACAAAACAGAGAAUCAGUAACUCAGUAUAGUCAAACUCCUAAGCUUUCUCCGUCUGGGUCAAUUUUCCGACAAUUUUUUUUUAUUUUUCGUCGAGUUAAAGUGAAAAACAUAUACCCUGGCUUUGCUUCUCAUAUCCAUUCCUGAACCACCAACCCUGUUUUUUUUUUCAAAAGAAAAAACCAAAAUAAGAAAAGACAAAACACAUAACUCUUUUUUUGUGUGGUAGAAGAUGUAAAUAUGUAAUUACAAAAUAAUAUCUUCUAUCUAUCUGGAUAAGGAAAGAACAAGAACAUAAACAAGAAUGUGUAAGAAAGAGGCAAGAACGAAGGAGAAAGACGAACCAUAUGUAUUCAGCGAUGAUUUUCUCAGUGUUGUCUGAGAGGUCAAGGUUAACGAGAUCGGUCAGAAGACUCAUGGUUACAGAGAAAAUGACAAGAAGGUUGUAAUGAAAUAUACUCAAAUCUCGGAUAAUGUGGUUUUUGGUUUAUGAGAUGAUUUUUUGGAGUUCGUGGUUGUGGGAGUACUUAUAGAGAGCAACGAGGGUACCUACAGAGAUAGGGAGAGAGAGAGCAGAGCCUCUGUUUUCCAAAUAUUAUUUUUAAAUUAAAACCAUAAAAUAUAAUAACGCGAUUUCUUUUUAUCUAACCAAUGUAUUAAAUUGAAGUUAUAUAGUUUAAUGGUGAUUAUUGUUUUCGUGUCGUCCUUAAAUUUGAUUAUUGACUUUUUACAAAAAUUAAAAACAAAUAAUUAUUGACUUAUUCCCAAAUUACUGUAUAUUGUACAUUUGAUAUUCAAGUAGGUGGAUAAUUUAUGAGAAGUUAUGUAUGCGUUGAUUUUCUUGUAAGAGUAGCUGAGUAGGUAUUCUAGGGUAAUAAUAACUUUAGCAUUAUAAAGUAACCGUUCAUACUUUUUCUACGAGGUUGGCCUAAUAGGCGAGGAAAAAUAGAAACCAUUUUUUUUUCAUCGAUUUUUGACCAAAAAUGUUUUGUAAAUAAUUAGCGUUUGUGGAAAAAAUUAGACUUACAAAAGUCCGAAUGAUAAAUAUAAAAUAUCAAAUGGAUGAAAAUCAAAGUAUAAUAGACGUAUAAUUAACUUAUUAUAGAAGUAAAAAUAUAAGAGCAGAAGACGGUGAAAAUAAAAAUAUCAAAUGAAUGAAACAGGAUAAAUAUGAUUAGCAUAUAAUAGAGGUAAUCUCAUAGUUCAAAAAAUAAUAAGGUAGAUCAUAUAUUUACAAAGAAAUAUACGCAAAACUUAUUAUAGACGUAAAAAUAUAAGAGCAGAAGACGGUGAAAAUAAAAAUAUCAAAUGAAUGAAACAGGAUAAAUAUGAUUAGCAUAUAAUAGAGGUAAUCCCAUAGUUCAAAAAAUAAUAAGGUAGAUCAUAUAUUUACAAAGAAAUAUACGCAAAACUAAUGUACUCCAAAACACACAAAAAAAAAAUGAAUUUGAUACUGUUUUAUUUUUACUUAUAAAAAAGAAGCAAUCGGUUGAAAACCCAAAAAAAAGAGAAUACCUGUGAUUUGACUAAUUUGUAUCUAUGGAAUAAGGUAGAAGAUUGUGGGAUUUAGGGUAUGAGGCUAAUUAUGAUAAAAGUGCUGUGUAGAGAGCGCAAUUUCUCUAUAAAAAAUACAAUACAAGCGCAUAAUUUGCUGACUGGAAAAUGCAUUGGAGGAGACUUCCCCUUUGAAAACACCAACAAUAAAAGCUUUGACGUCAUCAUUUUUCAUAUAAAUUAAUAUUCUUCAUUUUCAUCAUCUUACAUUAUAAUUUUUUUUUUGUUAAAUUAAUAUUAUAUUAUUGAAAAUGAUUAGUGGAAAAUCUAGUUAUACGAAAUGAGCCAUAUAUUCUUUGUAAAGCUAUCAGAAAACUAAAUAAAAUUCAAAUGAUUAAAUAAAAUAGAAAAUAAAUAAAUGAAAUUAAAAUACAUUAAUUUAAUAGCGGUGUUCAAUCCGGAUAUCGUUUCGGUUUGGGUUCGUUUUUUUUGGGUUUUCGGUAUUUCAGUUAGUAAAAUAUAAGUAUCAUUCUAAAUCUAUAUUUACUUCGGUUCGGUUUAUAUACCGUCGGUUUUCGGUUUAUUCGGUUUUAAACCAAAACAUAAUUAUUUAGUGUGGGAUCAUAUUAUAUAAAUUUUAGAGUCAUAUUGUCAUCGCAGUCAUUUAUUAAAAAUAUAUUAUAUUUUCAAAUAAAAGAACAAAAAAAACAUGCUUAUACCUUCAGAUGAAAUAAUCAAAUCUAGAAUUAAAAUCAAAGCUUUAAAUUUUGAAAAUAAAAAUAAAAAAAAAAACAAAAAAGAAAUAUGAAAGAAAAGUUUUUCCACUCUUCCAUAUUUAGUGUUCAUCAAAGUCAUGCUUCUUCGAGUGAAACUAUGUUCGUUUAUAAAUAAGAAAAAAGUUGUUACAAAUUUUUUCUAGUUAUUAUCCAUCAAAUUUAUAACAUUAACUUCAGUUUAAUCAAUGCUAAAAGAAAUCAAAAUGAUUAAAAGAAGAACUAAGAAAAUAAGAAGCCUCAGUUGCGAUGAAUUGUUAUUUAAUUAUAUUUUAAGUAUUUUUCAAAUUAGGAUUCUUUAUUACUAUAAAAAAUAUGGUAUUAAUUAUUAACAAAAAAAUAACUUAUAUAACAAAUAGAUUUUCAUGUGACGUUAUAAAAUAUGUACAUAUUUACAUCUUUCUAUUUUUGAUCGGUUUUGUUCGGUUUAUUCGGUUUAAUCAGUUAUAAAAUAUGUACUUAUUUUCGAGUGAAACUCUGUUCUUUUAUAAAUAAGAAAAAAGUUGUGAAGAAUUUUUCUAGUUAUUAUCCAUCAAAUUUAUAACCUUCACUUCAAUUUAAUCGAUGCUAAAAGAAAGCAAAAUAUUAAAGGAAGAAGACUAAGAAAAUAAGAAGCUUCAGCUGCGAUGAAUUGUUAUUUAAUUAUAUUUUAAGUGUUUUUCAAAUUAAUAUUCUUUAUUACUAUAAAAAAAUAUGGUAAUAACUAUUAACAAAAAAAUAACUUAUAUAUGAAAUAUAUUUGCAUGUGACGUUAUAAAAUAUGUACAUAUUUACAUAUUUCUACUUUUGAUCGGUUUUGUUCGGUUUAUUUGGUUUAAUCGGUUAUAAACCAAACCAUAUCCAAAUCCUACGGUUUUUAUAAAAUCAUAUUCAUUCGGUUUAUAUGGUAUAUACCAAAACCACACCAUAUUGUCUAUUUCGGUUUAGUUCGGUUUGGUACGGUUCGGUUUUACCAUAUUGGACAAGCCUAAUUUAACCAAAAAAUAAUUAAAAAUUAAAAAAAUUUACAAAUUCAAAAUAUAUAUAUAUAUAUAUAUAUCUUAAAAAGUACAAGAUUAUUUUUUAAAAAAAUUGACAGAUCAUCGUUAAAAAUAAAAGUUUCAAACAUAUCAUUGUUGAUGAAGAUGGUUUCACACAUAACCAUUAAAAAUGACGAUUUUCUGUCAUUUUCAACGAUGAUGUCGAGAAUUAUACUUUAUUAUAUGUCAAAAAUCUUCAUUGUUAGUGGUUAUGUGAGAAACUAUCAUCGUCAACAGUGAUAUGUUUGAAGCUUUUAUUGUCAACGAUAAUAUGUUAGUUUAAAAAAAAUUCUUGUUAUCUUUAAAAAAAAAUUAUAAUGUUUUUAAGAAAUAUAUUUUGAUAUUUUGAAUUUUCUAAUUUUAGUUAAUUUUCUGAAAUUUUAAUUAAUUUUGGUUAAAUUUAUGUAUUUUAGUUUUAUUUAUUUAUUUCUGAUUUUUAAUUAAUUAAUCAUUUUUUUUUUAGUUUUCUGAUUUGUUGUUCAGUUUUCUGAUAUUUAUUUAAUUUUUAGUUUUUCUUUAUUUUAUUAAAUAAAUAACUAUUUUUUGGAAAAAAACGGACAUAUCGUUUUUACCUAUACAAAAUGUCAACUUUUUACUUGGUGAAGAAGUAAGGUAUGUGACACUUUGAAAGCUUUUUAUGUAACUUUUCCAUAAACACAUGUGCACGUUGUCUUUGGCAAAAAAAAAGGAAAAGAAAAAAAACAUGUGCAUGUUGUCCCAGUCGAAAGGAGAAGAACCGGUUGAACCGGCAGCCAGUUAAUGGCAAGUAGGAAGGCGAUUGUAUGGCUAGAGGACGCACCGGGUCCACUCUCAGUCCACAAACCAAAGUAACCGCUUCCUCAAAGUUGUUGCUAACCGCCAGUCUUAAGGUGCGAACCGCACUCUGUUAUUAUAAAACAAUCAAUCAAAUAUCAAGAAAAGAAACAAAAAGAUUCGAUCUUGAUAAGCACACUCCGUCCUUUGUUUAAUAUACACUAUUAUUUAUUUUGUUAUUUUGUUAUCCCUUAUAUAUCAAAGCACAAGUCAUUUGGCUAAUAAAAUUUUGACACAUGGAAUAACUUAAAAAAAACAAAACCAAUCGAUUAGAAAAAUAUAUUAUUCAUCCUUUAUUUUUCUACAAUUCCAACUAUCUAAACUCCUUAAUUUUCUCAAAAUUUUCAUCCCACGUUGCAUUACAUCAUCAAACUGUUUUCUUCCUAUUCUUCCCACGGUUUCAAAUUACUUGGCUCUAAAACUCUUUAAAACUAUCAAAAUAAUAAAAACUAAAAAACCUCUCAAACUUUUAUUGUUGUUCCUUUUUAUUUAUUUCUCAAACUUUUAUUGUUCUUCUCAAACUCUACUGAAUUGUGGCUCUAAAACUCUUUAAAACUAUCAAAAUAAUAAAGUAUUAUAGUUUCAAUAAUAUUUUUGUCAUAAUCUAUCAUAACUUUAUUUUUUUAUUUAAAAUAAAAAUGUAUAACUUAACGGAAGAUUUAUUUACAAUAAAAAUACAAAGAAAAAUUACUGAAUCAAAUAUAUAGUAUUUUAAACUAUAUUUUUAUGUGAUGUAUAUAUCUCAACUUUAAACAUAAAAUACUUUAAACAUAUGUCUAUUUUAAAACAACACGCUAAUUACUAUUUUACCUUUUACAACCUCUUUAUUUGAAUGCAACUAUUUUAUAUUUAAUUGAUAUAAUAAUUUUAUUUUGAUUGACAAUUUUGCAAUUGUAGUUUUAUCAUCAAAUAAUUUAAAUACAUACGUUUUGAUUCGUGCGUAGCACGAGGUAACACUAGUAUGAUACUAAAUCGCAUACAACCCUAAAGAUCUCAAAAUUAGCAAUAUUCAAAUGGUAAAAAAAAUGUUUUUGGAGGUUUAUGUUAGAGAUCAACCUUGACCAUGUAUUAAAUUGUAGAGCUUUUCCAAUAAAGAUUAACGUUCUUAUACGAAAAAACUAAUAUUAAUAUAGUAUUAAUAUUUAAUUGUAAAUAUCUUAAAUAAUAAUACUUUUCAUUUUUAAUUGUGUAUGAUAUUCAGUGUCAAUUUGUUUUAAUUAUCAAAAAAAACUAAUUUAGCAAUAUUUAGAAACCUUAGUGUGAGAUAUCCGUAUUAAAAAUGAUUUUAUAACAAAAUUUGUUUUGGCUAUUGUUAAACAGCUUCGAAUGAUAAAUAUUUGAGUUUUUUACAUGCCUUACAAAUUAGUUUAGAUUUUAGUUAAAAAUUAAUCGCAGAUAUAUAAAAGGAAAAAAAAAACUGAUAGUUGUUGUGAACCAGAUCGCAGAUGGCUCAUAACCAAGAGAUUAUGAUUUGUAAUAUUAUAAUCUCCUAUAUAAGGAAUCUCUAUGUUAUGAAUAAAGAUAGAUUUUUCCAUUACUUUUAUAACACGUUAUCAACAUGAAACUCUAAAUCCCUAAGCUAAUACCCAAAUCAAAAAACCCUAAAACCCUAACCCUAGCCGACGAUCCGACGAACCCUAAACCCCGAUCACGUCUCUUGUUCCCGCAUCUGUUCCAGCUCGCGUCCCCGAUCAGCUUCAGCCCAAGGCGUUCCUGAUCCUAGCUCAGACGUUCGCGAACCAAGAGUAGCCCCAGCACGCGACCUCUUCCUCGUUCGCGACAGCAUCAGACAGCUCGUGUCCGACGAUCAAGGCGUUCCCGAUCAAGCAACAAAGGACGCCUGCGACCCGAUAGAAGCAACUUGAUCCAUUCCAGCUCGCGUCUCGUUCGUGUCCAGCUCGCGGCUCAACUCCUUUGGUGGUCCGAUUCAACAAUCAUCUAAGGUUAAAAGGUAAUUCAAAACCUAAGAACCCAUAAUCGAACAUGGAUUGAUUGAUAAAGAAUGAAACCCUAAAACCCUAAUCUUUAUGAAUCAAAACCAUAGGGUAAUAGAUCAAAAAUCCUAAUUGAGUAAAUCGAAGCUCUAAAAGUUCGAUACCCCAAACCCUAAAUCAUGUUCCUACAUGAUUAAAACCCCAAAUCGGUUUUUACAAGUUAAAAUCCGAUAAACCCUAACCCUAUAUCUAUAAACCCUAAAUAAUAUAAGUAUCAGAAUUAAUUAUACUAUAAUUAUCAAAUCACAUAUUAAAACCCUAAUCGAAUAUUUUGAAAUCAAAACUGUUUUCGGUUUUGAUCAUUGAGGUUUUAAAUCUGAUUGAAUCUGAUGCUAUGUUGCUAGAAUUGUUUGACCGUUAAAUUGAUAGAUUUAUUUUCUCAUCCUGCUUGGUUAAUUGUUCAUCUGAUUUAAAAUUGUUUAAACCGACCAGCCUGUUAAAACAUUGAUUGAAUCCGAUAGGUUGCUAGCUUGCUUUGCUUAUAUAAUCCGAUAGGUUGAUAGAUUGAUUGAGGUUUACUUGUUUAAAAUCCGAAUGAUCUGAUUGCAUGAUUCUUGAGGUUUAAUAUCAUCUGCUAGGAUUGAUAGUUUUGUAAUCUGAUCUGUUUUAAAUAGAAACCCUAAAUAAUCCGUAUGAUAGGUUAUAUUGAUCUGAUUUGGAUGUCUUUGAGAAUUGAGAAUCCGUAUGCUAGGUUGAUAGAUUCAUGAUAAAAUCUAAUGUCUUGAGGUUUAAGAUUGUAUGCUAAGUUCGAUUAAAUUGAUUGAUCUGAUUAUAUGUUUUUGAGGUUUGAUAAAUUCGGAUACUAGAUAAAUUAUUUACACAUGGUUUAUGCUAAAUACCAAUCAGCCUUGAAACUGAUUCAUUGAAAUUCAUGCUUGAAAUCUAUAUUCUAGUAUUGCUAAAAUCAGCCUUGAAACUGAUUCAUUGAAAUUCAUGCUUGAAAUCUAUAUUCUAGUAUUGCUAAAAUCAGCCUUGAAACUGAUUGAGUGAUUAAUAAAUCUUUUUACUAGUCUUGCUAAAAUCCAUUGAUUGUUAAACCCUAAUUGCAUGAUUAAUUGAAUCCGUUUUUGCUAGUCUUGAUAAACCAUAAUAUUAUGAGCACAUAGAAAUAGUAUUGCUGAGACUUGCUAGAAAUUGACUGAUUGAUUAAAUGCCUUUAAGAUUGAUAGUCUCAUUGUCCUCACAAGAUUGAAAUCCGAAUUGAUUGUUUUUAAGAGUAAGGCCGCAUGAAAAUUAUACCUAAAUAUUGAGUGAUAUAUGAUUUUAGAUGUCGAAAAUCAACCUGGAUUUUGCUGCCCUAAAUCUCUCUGGAGAUAAUUAUUUACGGUGGGCAUUGGAUACAAAGAUUAUCCUAAAGUCAAAAAGACUUGGUGAAUGUAUCAUAGAAGGCAAUAAUGCCAAUGAGAAAGAUUGAUACAUGGCAAUAUUAAUUAUUAGCCAUCAUCUUAUUAAGAGUCUCAAAGAUCAGUAUCUGACUAUAGAGAAUCCUCUAGACCUUUGGACAGAGUUAAAAAUCGAGAUAUGAUCACCAAAGAACGGUGUUAUUACCAAAGGUCCUAUUUGAUUGGAGGAAUCCCAGAAUCCAGGACUAUAAGUCCGUGGAUGAGUCUAUUGCUAGUUGGGCAAAAUAAUGGAUUACUGAUGAGAAACAGUGAAUUGAGACCUCCUGGAUUAACCCCAUUAACUGAUACCAGUAAGGCCGCAAAAAAAAAAAAAAGGUAACCACGUCCAGAAUGAUAGACCACACGGUCAUGGCCGUGGAGGGUGGAAAGGACGUGGCCAUGGCCACUAUAACACAUUUGGCCGUGGGAAUCACUAUGGCAGAGGCCGUGGGUAUCAACCCAAUUUGAGCCAUGGUCAAGGCAGUGGCCGUGGUAUAUCCUUUAAACCACAAAGCUCGACCAAAUCAGUGUGCCAUAGAUGUGGAAUGGGGAACCAUUGGGCUAAGAUAUGAAGGACUCCCAAACAUUUUUGUGACCUCUAUCAAAGAGAGUCUGAAAGGGAAGAAUCCUGAAACCCACUUGGUCUAUAAAGAUGGUGAAAAUAAUUUCGAACAUGAUCAAGAUGAUCUUAUGGAAUAUGAGACUUAUGAUUGCCUAAAAGAAUCAAGUUGAUAAUCUGAUUUCGACAUCAAACUUGUGUGAUUGCUUUGCUUGUAUGCUUUCUCUGAUUUUUAUCUCCUUGAAUUUAUUUCUAUUACAUUGUCUGCUUAGAUUAAAUGAAUGAAUGAUUUUUCUAUAUGAGUACACUGAAAAACGCCAAUAUAAGUACUAAAGCAGGUAUCGCCAGUCUGAAAGAAGACUAUGGCUAGGCUAAUAUAUUAUUGCCUAAGGGUAUGCAUCUAGAAAUCAGUGAUGCCUUAUAUUCACCCAGCUCUAAGAGCAAGAGCAGCCUAUUGAGUUUUAAAGAUAUAAGAAUGAAUGGUUUCCAUAUUGAAACAAUGGGCGAAGGAAACAAAGAGUUCCUUCAGAUAUAUGUAUAAAAUCGCCCAAGGCCAUAAUAAGUCCUAAAGACUAUACAUGCAUUCUCUACUGACCUAGACUAUGCAUAGAUCAGUAUGAUAGAGGCUAAAAGCCUGCGAAAAUAUACACUUUAUGGCACGACCGGAUUGGCCAUCCUGGUCCAAACAUGAUGCGAAAAUUGAUAUUCAAAAGGCACACAUUAAAAGAUAAGAAGAGUUAUCCCAAAGAAUCUCACGUGUGUAGCAUGUACACAAGGGAAACUCAUUAGGCCAUCACCAGUAAAACGGCUACGAGCCCCUUUUUCAUAAAUAAAGACUAUAUGUCUAGAUAAUACUGGUGAAUACAUGUCCCAAGCGUUUAAAUGAUUAUGGUAUGUCCAUGGGGGUAAGUGUGGACAAUUCUGUGAUACAUGUCCAUACCAAGAACGGCUUGGCCGAAAUCUUUUAAAACGCAAAUAGCUGAUUGAUAGACCAUAACUUAUGAGGUCAAAACUCCCAUUCACAGCUUGGGCCACACGAAAUUUACAUGCACCUAAGUUAAUACGCAUCAGGCCAUUUAGUGAGCAUAGAUAUCCCCUAUCACAAUUAUUAACGGGUCAAGAGCCAGACAUACCCCAUCAUAAGACAUUUGGAUGUGCUGUCUAUGUACUAAUUGCUCCACCACAGAGAACUAAGAUGGGACCUCAAAAGGAGGAUGGGGAUAUAUGUUGGAUAUGAUUCUCCCACAAUAAUAAAGUACUUUGAGCCAACUAUGGGUGAUUAUAUUUGAGGCCAGGUACACAGAUUAUUUUAAGACCAGGAGGAAAAAAAUAAUAAAGCUGGUAAAAGAAUGGUAAAAGAAAUAGAAUGGAAUCAACCAUCAAUGUCUUGGCAAGAUCCUCGGACUAAAGAAUGUGAAAUAGACGUCCAAAGAUUAUACAUUUACAAAGCUAGCUAAUCAAAUGCCAGACACAUUUGCUGACCCGAAAAAGAAUGACUAAGUCAUAUAUAAACCAGCUUGUAAAGCACCAACGAAUUUGAUGUCCAAGAAGAGACACAGUCAAGUUGCUACAGAGUCUAGACAACGUAUGAAACGUGGUAGACCAAAUAGGUUCCAAAAGAUAAGAAUCCUCGGAAACAAAAGAAAGGUGCAGAGAAUGAUAAUCAAAAUCCAAAUCCGAGGUUACUAAGGAAACCAUCCCAGACAUGGAGAUAAGGCCGGCCGGCUCUAAGGUACAGGUACCAAACAAUGUAGCUUGGGACGCCAAGCUGCAAAGUAUUAAAGGUCUUGAUAAUAAUGAAUCUCGAUCGAUUAUAUCAUGUCUGGAACAUAAUGGAACCAAUAAGGAAUGUCGACAUAAGAUGAUUUAUUUGCAUACAAGGUAGCACUUGAAUUUAUGAAUAUAAGCGAGGAUCAUGAACCCAUGUCAAUAUAUGAGUGUGCACUCGUAGAACAGAUUGGAUUGAAUGGAAAAGUGAGGUUAAAUAGUUUAAGGAAGAAAGGCGUAUUUGGCAAUAUGAUUAAGACGCCAUAUGAUGUUAAAACCAGUGGAUAUAAAUGGGUCUUGUGAGGAAUAGAAAUCGUGAGAUAUAAAGCUGAUGUUGCACAAGGAUUCUCACAAAGACCAGUAAUAGAUUAUGAGGAGACAUACUCCCAUGUGGUGGAUGCAACUACUUUUAGAUUUCUCAUAAGUCUGGAUGGACGAUGCAGAAGUCUUGUUUUAGAUACUGAUCUGAUUGGUCCAUAAGAAGGACGAUGAAGAAGCCUUUGAUUUUGGUUUAUUUUAUACUAACCAGCCCAAAGAGGGGUUAUUUGGUUUUGUUGAUUUGUUUUCAGACAGGUUAUGUUUUACACAUGGUGGUACACGCAUAUCACAGCAACAUCAUCCAAGAUUUCGUGUGUGUGUGUAUUUGAGGUCGAUGACUCAAUAUGUUCGAUCAGAUUGUGGCAUGGCCGAUGGUAAAGAAGAAACAACUAUUAUGUUCGAGGACGAAGGAUAUUCUGCCCAAGAUCUUCAUCACCCACGGAUUGCAUAAAAUUGGAAAGGUCCAAGGGACCUUCAGUAAUGUCCAAAUCAGGGGGAGUAAUGUGUGUUGUACUAUUUUUCCUUCACCAUGGUUUUGUCCCAAUUGGGUUUUCCUGGUAAGGUUUUAAUGAUGCAACAUUAAAGCACAUUACAAGCUCUAAAUGGUUAUGGCAUCCAAGGGGGAGUGUUAUGAACCAGAUUGUGGAUGGCUCAUAACCAAGAGAUUAUUAUUUGUAAUAUUUCCAUUUAUCUAUGACGGUAUAAUCUCUUAUAUAAGAAACAUCUAUGUCAUGAAUAAAGAUAGAUUUUUCUGUUAUUUUUAUAACAAUAGUACAUUACAUAUAUAUAAUCAGCCUCAGGUAAUAUCAUUGAUACUAAUUUUAAAACAAUUUUAUAAUAGCAAACCACACACAAAUAUCUAUAUUAAAAAGAUAUCAAAAAAAGAUCCAUCUCUUUUUCUUAAAUAUAAUAUGAAAAGUAAAAUUUUUAACUUUAGUUGUGUAUCAUCAUCAAUUUGAAUAGAGCAAUAUAUCUCUAUUAUAAACCAUACAUAAUAAGAAGAGUAACCAAUAAAAAACAACCAAUUGCUAAAUUUCUCCGAUUUUGAUUUUUACUAAAAUGACUUGGCAACCAGGCUGGCCCGGAGUACAACCAUGAACUAUCCAAACCACCUACUAAGACAUCCAUGAAAAUUUUGAUCCAAAAAAGUGAAAAACACAUCCAUAAAAAAAUACAUUUUGUUCAUUACCUUUUCCAAGUAAUUUUUAUUAUUAUUUAUAAUUAAAAGAAUUUAUAUAUUUAUAGUAAUAUUUGUAACAUUUUCAACGAAAAGUGCUGAUUAACAUUCUUUAAUAUUUAUUAUUUUCAAGUGCAUAAUCUCUAGUUACCAAAUUAUUUUAAUAAAAUUAUAUCUUAAAAAGAAAGUUUAAAAUGAGAACGGCUAGGCAGAUAUGUCAAAGUAUAAUGUUUUAUGUUCUUAAGGAGUUUUUCUAAAAAGAACCAGAUUAAUAUUUGUACCACCACAACAACGGGAAAAUGGGCAUUUAAUUCCCGAAGUAUUUGAAAUCGGCAGUUUUAAUAUUUAAAUAUUACUUGCGCAUAUUUAUUCCUCAACUAAUAGUUGACAGCGCAAAAUUGGGAUCAAAAUAGUCAACGGUUAACUGAUGAACGAAAAAUAAUGGUUUCCGUCAACUUUUUAACGGUAGAAUAUUCUAAUCAUGAUUUUGCGCAGUCAAUGACUAAUUGGGGAAUAAAUAUGCACAUAUAAUACUUGAGUAUUUAGUUUUCCGAUUGAAAAUACUUGAGGAAUUAAAAACUCAUUUUUUCUUUAUAUUUCGUAUAAGAUUGAAAGUCACUAACAUCAAUCCCUUUAAAAAAAACAAAAGUAAAAAUAUUUUCAAGUUAAAUAAAAUUAUAGUACGAGAUAUUUACCUUUAGAAAUAGAUUGUUGAUUUUUUACAAUGACAUAUAAAAUAAUACAAAAUAAUUAGUUACAUCGUAUUGUUGAUGUACUUCAUGUUUAUAUCACUUUAGAUGAUUUUUAAAAUUAUUCAUAGUUAGAAAGGUUCAUAAUUUGAAAUAAUAUACAAGAUAUUUAAUCCCGGAAAAUGAGUUAUUUAAUUUAUAAAAGCAUAUAAAAUAACAUAAGAUAAUUACAUUUGCAUUAUAUUGCUGAUGAACAAUAUAUGAAUGUGUAAAGUACAUAUAAUUAUAUAUGAUCGUCUAAAGUAGAGAUCCAAUGUACAACAUAUAAUUGUCUAAUAGAUAAAACUCUCGUAUAUUGGUUAUAUCUAACUUGAGAAUAUUUCAAAUUAUGAUUUUCUAAAAAAAAAAGAGUGUUGUUUUUAAUUCCUUAAGUAUUUUCAAUCGGUAAAUUAACGAUAGAACCCGAAACAUUCAAAAUUUCCAAAAAGAACUUGUACCAAACAUGAUCUCAAUUCCUAAUAUGUAUUCAAAAUAUAUUGAACAUCUAAAAUAAUUAUCUAUUAUAUGAAGAUUGAUGGUUGAAGUUUUUAGAUUUUGGUUUUGUUUUCAUUGAAUAAUGUUUUUCAUUUCAUGAGAACUUGAUUUUCGUUUUAUGCUUUCAUUUAUUUGGUUUUCUUUCGAUCAAUAACUGUGUUUACCUUUCACUUGAUUUUGAAUGAUCACAUUUGAUGUUCCUUUCUUUUUUUUGAACCGAUUUUAUUUAUGUUUUGGUUACAAAAUAGGUACAAAUCAAGUAUUUUAAAACCGAAGAACCGAUUUUACUUACUUUUUGGUUACAAAGUAGAUAUAAAUCAGGUACAUAUAAACCGAAGAACCGAUUGGAACCCUAAUCCGAAAAUACAUCGGGUUGUACCGGUUCUUUGAAGAUUUACUAAACCCGACCCGAACUCGAUAUAAUCCGAACCGGUCCCGAACCGAUCCCGAACCAAAUUUUCAUAUAACUUGAAUUGGGCUGAUUUUGAUAAACCCGAAAAACCGAAAUCCAAUUGGACUAAACCGAAUCCGAUUGGACUAAAGCGAAACCCGAUUGGGAUCCAGAAUGUCCAUGCCUAGAAAAGAUAGUGGAAACAAAUUAAUAAUAAAACUUACGUAAGCAUGUUUAUUGUCUGGCUGUUCUGUAGGAAAAAAAAAAACACAACUAAAGUAAAAUAAAAAAAUUCGUUACUUUAUAUCGAAAACUUUUAUUUUCUUGUUUUAUAUUCUAAAAUUUUCCGUGGACAGUUUAAGUAGAAUUUUUUAAGUGUAUUCAAUAUGCAUGUGACUUAAUUCUAUUAAUUUCUUCAUUUUUUUUUUCUGAGAAGAACUGGAAAAGUAAAGUAGAUGCUAUGAUUUUUGACCGUACGUCUAAUUUUUCAACUCAUCAAUAAGACCCUCACCUUACCAACCAAAUAGAAUCUUCUUUUUCACACUUUUUUGUGUUUAAAAAGUUGAAAUACAUUACCUUUUGCGGUUUCUUGCAAUGUAUGUUAUUUUUCACCAACAGCUAGAGUCGAUUUUACGUUCUUACAAAAAAAUGUUGAUAAGUUGUUAAUAUCGAAUCAACAUGAAUCAAAAGUCAACGAUAUUAUUAGUUCUCAAUAACAAAAUCAAUAUUAUUAAAACUGGGGUACAUUUUACAAGUGUUUGAAAAUACGAAUAAUAAUAUAAAAAAUUAUAAUGUUGUUUGAAAUCAUGAAUAACAGUAUAUUAAGAAAAAGAUAAUAUCUAAUCUAUUAAUUUAAAAUUAUAUUUUAUAUCUACUGUUGAAAGAUGUUAUUUAAAUUUUAGACCCUUAUAAAUAGGUUAGUAGAAUAUCACAUGCUACUUAUAAAAUGUAAUCAAGCUACUUAAACUAAACCAAUAUCGUAAGAUAAAACUAAAUCAGUGUCAUAUUUUUUGGUUAUAUGCUAACAGAAGCACAAUUCAAAAAGUGAAUAAUAUUAUUUAUAAUAUGUCUUUCAAUACUGAUUCUAAAUAGACAUCACGUUAUUUUAAAAUAAUUGUGUUUGCGUCUCUUCUCUUGUGUUCAAUACAAAAUUGUAUUUGCUUCUCUUCACAUCACUAACUCCACCUGCAACAUAACAAAAUCUAAUUAGAUAAAACUUUGUCCAUCUUUCAUCGUAGUCUAAACUCUACCAAAUAAGAUAGUAAUGUGUUGUCCACUUUAUACACUUCUUCAUGUAUUAAUGUGAUGCACAUUCCUUACUACGAAGCACAUUUGUGUCCGUAAUAUGACAUCCAAACCGCAAUCACUUUCUCUUCUUUUAGAGUUAUAUUGACUUGGCAUUACGAACAAAAUAUUGUCAGCAUAUAAGCUUGAAUCUUAUAAAGAUUAGAUCCGGUUCACCUUUUACAUAUCAUGAACAGUAUGUUUCUUUUGUUUAUCACACUACAAAAAAAGUCCACAUUCAUAGCACAUGAUGAUAGCUCGUUUUACUGAUCUGCUAUCGUAGAUCCAUAUAAAAUUUAUAUACUCUAUAACAACACUAGAUUAACGCUAAGGUAAAGUUUUAGUAAGCGGGAAACUAAAUUGUAAUUUUUCGCGAAACACUUAAUGAAAAUCACAAAAUUUUCCUCUCAUCACUCACUUUCCCUCUCUCAUAGCUCUCAUUUCCCCCUUUUCUCUUCGAACCCUAACAAAAGUGAGAUCGAUUCCAUCGCCAUUUCCAUCACCAUUUCCUUAUCCCAACCGUAAAUUCAUCGCCAUUUCCAUCACCGAAGGUGAUCUUGCUUCAAUCGCGAGGUCAGAUUUCGUGUUUAGAUUUCUAGGGUUUUGAUUUCGUUUUUGCAUGUUCGAUUUCGUGUUUGCUUUUACAUGAUUGACAUCGAUUUCAUAGUUGUUUGCUUGAAUUGAGAGACUGUAUAUAUCGAGUUAUUAUCUACUGAUAUGUCUUCUGAAUUUGAUUGAUUUUACUUUGAAUUGGUUCUUUAUGUUAGUAAAGGUUUCAAUACAGGUUAGAACAUACAAUGGUGGACAAAGCGUGGGUGCAUCUUAGCAGGUAAUGAAUUAAAUCAUAUAUGUUAGCUUUCGGUAGGUGUUUUGAGACUUAAAUUAACUUGUUUAUUUGCUUUUCCUUUUGAUUCUGAAAUGUAGAGUUGAUCCUGCUUAUGAGAGAGGGGCUUCAAAGUUUGUAUGAGAUGUGGCUGCAACUUCUGGAGGGAUUGAUAUGAUUGUAUGUCCUUUCAUUGACUGCCGUAAUAUAGAUCGUCACUCAGGAAGUGUGGUAGUUGACCAUCUCGUUACUAGGGGUAUGGAGGAGGCUUAUAAGAUGCGGUCUGAUUGGUAUCGACAUGGAGACUUCAACUCAGGGGCUGCAGAUGAAGGCAGAGUUCAUCAAUGGAAUGAUGAGAUCUUCGGGUUAUACGAGCUGCUGAGUGUUUUGAUGCAGUGUUAUCUGGUACGGGGGAUUUGUUUGAGAUGGCAGAGGGAGACGACAAGAAAGAAGAUGAGUUCUUGGCGAAGCUAGCUGAUGCUGAAACACCAUUGUAUCCAAGUUGUGCAAACCAUAGCAAGUUAUCUGCUAUUGUAUCAUUAUUUAGAUUGAAGACUAAGAAUGGUUGGUCUGACAAGAGCUUCAAUGAUCUGCUAGAGACAUUGCCGGAGAUGUUACCAGAGGAGAAUGUGCUACACACUUCACUGUAUGAGGUUAAAAAAAAUUUGAAGUCAUUUGAUAUGGGUUACGAGAAGAUUCAUGCAUGUGUCAACGACUGCUGCCUAUUCAGAAAGAGGUUGAAGAAGCUUGAUUAUUGUCCUAAAUGCAAGGCUUCAAGAUGGAAGACUAAUGUCCACACUAAUGAAACGAAGAAAGGAGUCCCGCAGAAAGUGUUAAGGUACUUUCCAAUAAUCCCAAGACUGAAGAGAAUGUACCGGUCUGAGGUAAUGGCCAAGGAUUUACAGUGGCACUUCAGCAACAAAAGCACUGAUGGAAAACUUCGACACCCCGUUGAUUCAGUCACAUGGGAUGAGAUGAAUGCCAAAUACUCUACCUUUGCCGCUGAAGAAAGGAACAUGGGGCUUGGACUUUCAGAAGAUGGAUUUAAUCCAUUCAAUAUGAAGAAUACGAUGUACAGUUGCUGGCCAGUUUUGUUAGUCAACUACAACUUGCCACAUGAUUUAUGCAUGAAGAAGGAGAACAUCAUGCUUUCAUUGUUGAUUCCUGGUCCACAACAGCCUGGUAAUAGUAUAGAUGUGUACUUAGAACCCCUCAUCGAGGAUCUAAACCAUAUGUGGAGCAUUGGAGAGUUAGUGUACGACGCAGUGACUCGAUCAACGUUUACUCUGAAGGCGAUGCUGCUUUGGACGAUCAGUGAUUUCCCAGCUUAUGGGAAUCUUGCAGGCUGCAAAGUAAAAGGAAGAAUGGGGUGUCCUUUAUGUGGGAAGAAUACUGAUAGUAUGUGGUUAAAGUUUAGAAGAAAGCAUGUGUACAUGUGCCACAUAAAGGGUCUGCCACCAGUUUGUAGAUUUCGUGGAAAGAAGAAGUGGUUCGAUGGAAACGCUGAACAAGGGAGAAGGGGAAGGACUUUAACCGGGCUUGAAAUAUCUCAAAACCUAAGAAAUUUCAAGAAUGAGUUUGGAAAUGUUAAACGAUCUGGAAGUAAGAGGAAAAGGGUGGUCUGUACAGAUAUAAGAUCUGAUACUGACGGUUUAUCCAGUGAAUCAGAGGAAGAGGAAGAGGAAUAUGAAGAAGUCAAAGUAGAUGAGGAUGAGUUAUCUAGAUGGAAGAAGAGAUCAAUCUUUUUCAAACUACCUUAUUGGGCGGUAAGAUACUACUUUCCUUUGCUUAUAUCUUUCUAUUAUUGUUGUAUUUUGUUUAACUUAGAUGAGGUUUUUAUUGUUGUUUCUGUUAUGAUUAGGAACUCCCGGUGAAGCACAACUUAGAUGUAAUGCAUGCUGAGAGAAAUGUCUCAGCUAGAUUAGUUUCGACACUGUUGCACUGUGGAAAAUCGAAGGACGGUCUUCCUGAUCGUAAAGAUCUGGAGGAUCUUGGUAUUAGGCAGGAUUUACACCCUAAAAUCUAGGGAAAGAGAACAUAUCUUCCUCCAUCACCGUGGUCAUUAUCCAAGACAGAGAAGAAGGUAUUUUGCAGGCGUCUAUUUGACUUCAAAGGCCCAGAUGGAUUUUCUUCAAACAUUUCUAGAGGUGUUUCACUAGAUGACUGUAAAGUCACAGGUCUGAAAUCACAUGACUACCAUGUGUUGAUGCAACAACUUCUUCCGAUUUCUCUUAAAGGGUUGUUACCUAAAGGACCUAGGCUAGCAAUUACAAGGCUAUGCGCAUUCUUCAAUUUGUUGUGUCAGAGAGUGAUCGACAGGGAGCAGCUUUUGGUCAUGGAAGCGGAGAUUGUGGAGACUCUCUGCUUGUUCGAAAGAUAUUUUCCUCCAAGUUUCUUCGAUAUCAUGGUCCAUUUGACUGUGCAUCUAGGAAGGGAAGCCCGACUUGUUGGACCAGUCCAUUUUAGAUGGAUGUACCCAUUUGAGAGGUACUAUUAUGGUCCAUUUUACUUAUUUCAUUGUUAGUAUUCAUUAGCUAAUCUAUAUUUACUCACAUUUGUUCAGGUACAUGAAAGUACUCAAAAACUUUGUCAGAAAUACUGCAAGACCAUAGGGGUGCAUCGCUGAGUCAUAUCUAGCUGAGGAAUGUAUCAAGUUUUGCAGUGAGUUUCUGAAGAAGACAACAAAUGUAGAAGAUAAAAGUGAAAGAAACAUGGAGUAUGAGAACAGCUCUAUCUUAGAGGGGCGUCUGAUAUCCACCGGAACCUCAAUUACACUCACUGAAAUGGAGAAGAAAAUAACACAUCUUGCUAUGGUUCUCGUAGAACCUUAUGUAGAGUAAGUAACAUAUUCUUUUCAUUGAUCUUUAUAUGCAUGUUUAUAUUAAUGACUGACAAUUUGAUUUAUUUAUUUUGCUCAGUGAGCAUCUCCACUAUUUACAAGACACAAAUGACAGAUCAUGGCACAUCAUACAAUUCAUACACAUACAUAAGAUUAGCUAUAAGUUUUCUUAUAGAUAUAAACCGGUUCGUUUAUAUAUAUUGUAUUUUGUAAUUUAAAAAAUGUUUAUCUAAUUAUUAUCUAAUUCAAUAAUCUAUCCAGAAUAUUCUAAUCACAUUAAGAUAAGAUUUGAUCAAAUCUACACAAUGUGUCUUGCAAAAACAAAAUCCUCUAACAACUUAAUUUGGUUUUUAAUUUUCGUUAAUAUAUUUUAUAUUUGAAAGUGAAAUUUUUAUUUUCAGGAUUUUUUCUUAUAUUUUGAGCUCUAUUUUUAUCAAAGUCCCAUCUCCAUUCUUUAGAUUACAAAUCUUAACUUCAUGUAAUAUACAUAUAUUCACAAAUUGAUUUUUACUAAAAUAUUUUGCUAUAACCAAUAUAAAAAAAUGUUUUCAAUAUAUAUAAGAAAAAUACAAUACAAUGUCCAAUUUCAAACACCAACUUAAAUUAUGGUUUUUGUAUUUCACAUUAAGUUAUAAAAAUAUAAUAUAUGUGAUUAUUUAUAUGAUGAUGCAUAUAAAAUACUAUUAACUAUAUGAUUACUUAUAUGAUGGUAUGUAUAAAAUAUGAUUAAUUAUAUGAUGACACAUAUACAAUAUAUAAUAGUAAAACAAACAUGAGUAUAUUUUUGAAAAAAUAUACCCACGCGGACGCGCGGGUCAAAGUCUAGUUUGGUCUAUUAAAAUUCCAACUUGAUAUUCGGUGAUUAAUACUGUUCGUUGAUAAAAAAAUAUUUGAGCUACUUCGGGUUAUUGGCUUCCUUAUGUUAUUUCAUUUCUGUUUUUUUUUGUUGCCAGCAACUUAAAUAGACUUAUGUAGACUCUGCAAACCAAACAGGUAGAUCUGCAUCCAUAUGAACAACAUAAGACAGUUGCUUCCUUGCAACAACAUAAGACAGUUGCUUCCUUUCACUACGUGCGAGACUAUAUGCCCUUGUAUUUUGUGUCCGUGAUAUAUGAAUGAGCUCUGAGUUGUUUAAUUACCACAUUACAAACAAAUGAGAAAAUAUUGAUUGACUUAGUCGUUUUUUUACAACGAACGACUAUUCUAUUAUUCAAACUUGAGGUGAUCUUGAUAAUCAUACCGCGAUGUAACAAAGCUCUCUAUAAAAAGACUUCGCAUUCCUAGCUAAAAAGUCUGAGAUUCCAUUUUGUUGGAUUUGUUUAGCCCAUGUCCAACUCUUUAUUGUCUUAUUAGUACGAUAUUGUCCACUUUGGACCUUAGAGGCAAAUACGCAUGAAUUUACUUUUGGAUUCCUUUCCAAAAGAUCUCGUAUUAAUUAGAGUAAGAAAUCACUUUAUAUAUUAGACAUUAUUUGUUUUAACUUCUAAUGUGUUGCUUUAAUUGACAUUUUUUUCCCUGAAAUCAAGGACCAUACUCAUUUUGUAUCCAUUCCUUCAGCGAAAUUCCUUGGCACCUAUCUUGUCGCGUCUUCAACAUCUGGCACCCAAUCGCAAGGUUAAUUUGUGUUGCUUUGAGGAUGUUCUUCCUACAACACCAUAGGUUCCAUGAUCUCCUGGCUAGUUUAUGCCACAUACCUCCUUUUCCGACUUAAAGGGUAUUUUUUUUCUUGAAGAUUUUCGUCCGCUCUGAUACCAAUUGUUGGAAUUUUAGUAGCCCAUGUCUAACUCUCUAUAUUGUUGGGAUGCGCUUUUGGGAUGUGAAAGAUCUUCAAUUCUGGAAAGCAUAUCAGCAGAGUCUUUAUCGUCUCUAACUCUAUAGCAAAACUUGGCCAAUCAUGAGUAGGGGUGUAAAAAAGAGCCAGCUCAGCUCAUCUCAUUUGUUAUAUGAACUUCAAUAUGUAAAUUCGAACUUAGAUCAUCUAGAGCCUUGUUCGACCACUCCACUAUGUUUAUUAUAUGAACUUCAAUAUAUAAAAAAUUUAAACUUUUUAUUUUUAUAUUUAGGGUCUAUUCAACCACUCUAAUUGCACAGACAGCCGUGACUGGUCCUACUGUUUUGAUCACUAAAUAUAUCAAUUUAGUUUAGUUGAAAUAAUCAAGAGAGAAUAAAGAGAAAAAGAAAAUUGAACUUUAUAUUGAGAAUUUUUUUUCAAAGAAUGAGAUCAAAAUUAAAAGAAAAAGAAACAUUAGAAGAAGUUUUGAGAAGAUAAAUAAUCGUGAAGUUGGAAAGCUAUGGGGGCCAAUUAAAAAAAGGAUUGAACUUACUUUAUUAUUGCAUAUGCAAUUUGCAAUGUAGAUGUGGACACUUUAUGUAGUGUAGAUGCAGACGUAAACUGUUCUAAUUUUCAACUGCAAAUAAUGUUUUAAUGCAAUUACUGAUACGAUGAGUUUUUUUUUAUAGAAAAACUGUAUAGAUGAGAUUAUUGAUAAUACCAUUUAUUAAACGGAGUUACAUUUGUUUUUCUAACAAUAAACUACACUACUUCAAACUAGACACCAACGAAAGUAUUCAAACCGGUGGAACAGUAAAAUAAACCAUACUUAUAUGAUAGUUGAGUUUGAGCACUUCGUGUAAAUUUAUCCAUCAUUGUAUUCUUUUUUUUUUUUUGUGAAACAGAGAAAAAUGCAUUUCAUUGUUAAAAUUUCUUCAAAUGCACGGUAAAAGCUGGUUUUCCUAUAGACACCUAUGCACUAUUUUUAGGGUAGAGAAUAGUCUGCGGAAGCACCAUCUCUAAAACUGUAGAGUUUUAAUCCACUCUAUCGCCAAAUCAAAGUUUUACAUUUUGCAUGUAAAACUAAUAUACUUCAUCGGAUAUUCAUGAUUUCCAAGAUAUUGCAUGUUAGAUUUUCUGUGCACCAAAACCAUCUUUGACAUAUAAAUAUGUUUUUACACUACAAGAAAACGUGCCCAUAACAACGAACAUUUACGACGAAAAUAUUUCGUCGUAAAUUUACAUGGUGUUUACAACGCAGUUACGAGGAAUCCAUCUUUCGUCGUAAACGCCAUAUAAAUUUACGACGAAUAGUUUUCGUCGUAAAAUCCAUGUAUGUUUACGACGAAUGUAUGUGGAAUGAGAAAUACGUCGUAAUCAUUAUAUCGACAUUACAACGAAACAUGUUACCGUUAUAUUUAGGUGAAAACGUGUAUUCAAUGUGCUUUAGCUUACCUAAUUUCGUCGUAAAGUCGUUGUAAAUAUUAUGUUAAAACCAUGUAAAAUAUUCCUUGUAAAAUCGAUGUUAUAUUUCAACUACCCAAAUCGAAAAUUUCUCUAUAUAUAUGUCAUUUCCCACAACUCUCUUCCUCACAACACACAAACGGGAGAAAAAAAAAUCAGAAAAAAAAAAAUUUCAAAAAAAAAUCUAAGAAAAAAAUGGCCGGUGGCGGUAGUAUUUACGAGUUACGGAGUUGGAUGUAUUUGCACAAAGAUUCCGACGGGAGGGUGACGAACACAUUUCUGAGCGGGCUAGAGACAUUCAUGCACCAGGCGGGCUGUACACCGAUCACACAGGAAAGCGGUAAGAUGUUCUGCCCCUGUCCAAAAUGCAAGAAUUCAAAAUUUGCACGUAGUGAAACUGUAUGGAAGCAUUUAGUAAACAGAGGAUUUACACCACAGUACUACAUUUGGUAUCAACAUGGAGAGGGUUAUGGGGGAAAUGAAGCUAGUAGUAGUAAUAAUAAUUUUGAGGAUGGUCAUCAUAGUGAAGAACCGAAUCAUUUGCAUAAUGAAUAUAAUUAUCAUCAAGAUCAUGAGCAGAUGGUAGAUCAUGAUAGGGUUCAAGAUAUGAUUAGUGAUGCAUUUUUAGAAACAACUACAACAAUAGCUGAUGGAACUGGAAAUGUAGAAGAACCUAAUUUGGAUGCAAAAAGGUUUUAUGAAAUGCUAGAUGCUGCAAAUCAACCAAUCUACACUGGUUGUAGAGAAGGUCUCUCUAAAUUGUCUCUAGCAGCUAGGAUGAUGAAUAUUAAAACGGAUCAUAAUUUACCUGAGAAUUGCAUGGAUGCAUGGGCGGAGUUGUUUAAAGAGUAUUUGCCAGAAGACAACGUGUCUGCUGAAUCUUAUUAUGAGAUUCAGAAAUUGGUUUAUAGUCUUGGGUUGCCUUCGGAGAUGAUUGAUGUUUGCAUCGACAACUGCAUGAUCUACUGGAAAGAAGAUGACAAGUUAGAAGAGUGUCGAUUCUGCAAAAAACCACGAUUCAAACCGCAAGGCCGUGGGAGGAAUAGGGUACCGUACCAAAGGAUGUGGUACCUACCAAUUACAGACAGAUUGAAAAGAUUAUAUCAAUCUGAGAGGACUGCUGCGUCGAUGAGGUGGCAUGCGGAACAUGUCCAGAGAGAUGGUGAGGUUGCACAUCCAUCAGACGCAAGAGCGUGGAAACAUUUCAACAAGGUACACGCAGAUUUUGCUACAAAUAUUCGGAAUGUCUAUCUUGGGUUAUGCACCGAUGGAUUUAGUCCAUUUGGAAUGUCUGGUAGACAAUAUUCUUUGUGGCCAGUCAUUCUUCCGCCGUACAAUUUACCGCCGGAUAUGUGCAUGGAACAAGAAUUUCUAUUUUUGACCAUAUUAAUCCCUGGGCCGAAGCAUCCAAAACGGUCUCUUUAUGUUUUUCUUCAACCGUUGAUAGAAGAGCUAAAGCAAUUGUGGUCAGAAGGGGUGAGGACGUACGAUUGUUCCUUGAAAAACAAUUUUACGAUGCGAGCAGUUCUGCUGUGGACGAUAAGUGAUUUCCCUGCUUAUGGGAUGUUGUCUGGCUGGACAACACAUGGAAGAUUAUCUUGUCCAUAUUGUCUUGGAUCGACAGAUGCUUUUCAACUGAAGAAUGGUAGGAAGAGUUGUUGGUUUGACUGUCAUCGUCGCUUUCUUCCACUUGCCCAUCCGUACAGAAGAAAUAAGACAUUGUUUCGGCACAAAAAAAUUGUCAGAGACGGUUCUCCUCCAUAUCUCACCGGUCAGCAGAUCGAAGCAGACAUUGAUUAUUACGGAGCUCAGGAAACAGUUAAAGUUGGAGGAAAUUGGCAUGUUCCUGGAAAUAUGCCUGAUGGGUAUGGUGUGUCUCACAAUUGGCAUAAGAAGAGUAUAUUUUGGGAGCUACCCUCUUGGAAGGAUCUUCUCUUACGCCACAAUCUGGAUGUCAUGCAUAUUGAGAAGAACUUUUUUGAGAACAUCAUGAAUACAUUACUUAACGUCCCUGGGAAGACAAAAGAUAACAAAAAGUCAAGGAUGGACUUACCUGAUAUUUGCUCAAGAAGUGAGUUACAUAUCAAGAGCAAUGGAAACGUUCCUGUUCCCAUCUUCCGGUUGUCAUCAGAAGCCAAAACAACCUUGUUUGACUGGGUUGCAUCAGAAGUUAAGUUUCCUGAUGGUUAUGUUUCAAAUCUGUCAAGAUGUGUUGAACGAGGUCAAAAGUUCUCCGGAAUGAAGAGUCAUGAUUGUCAUGUGUUUAUGCAACGACUACUUCCAUUUGCUUUUGCCGAGCUCCUUCCAGCAAAUGUCCAUGAAGCACUUGCAGGUAAUUAUAAAACGUUAAUAUAUAUACAUAUGUUAUGAAAUGUUAUUAAUUUGAUUACUUUUGCAAUAUACAGCCAUCGGCGCUUUUUUCAGAGAUCUCAGCACACGUACGUUCAAGGAAGAAGUCAUCGAACAACUUCAUCAUAACAUUCCGAUCAUAUUGUGCAACCUGGAGAAGAUAUUUCCUCCUUCAUUUUUUGACGUCAUGGAGCAUCUAGUUGUCCACCUACCGUAUGAAGCAUUGCUUCGUGGACCUGUUCACAACGGAUGGAUGUAUCCGUAUGAGCGACAGAUGAAACAUUUGAAGGGGAAAGUAAGAAAUCUUGCAAAGGUGGAAGGUUCAAUAGUUGCGGGGAGUUUGACAGCCGAAAUAUCUAACUUCACAUCAUACUACUUUGCUCCAACUGUUCGUACGAGGAGAAGAGUUCCUAGAAGAUAUGAUGAUGGUGGAGUACCGACAUCAUAUCCAAUUGAUGGUGUUCCUGACAUUUUCUGCGAAAUUGCACGGUUUGGUGGUAAAACGAAACAAAUAACCUCGAUCCUGUUGUGAAUCGAGGGAUUCGGUAUAACAAAUUUGGUGUUGUAGAUGUCAAUUUUGGGAGAAGAUACAACAAAUUUGAGCCUUUCAUUUUAGCUUCACAAGCCGAGCAAGUUAGCUUCCUUCCUUAUCCUCGGCUUCGAACUUCCGGGAUAAACUGGUUAGCUGCUAUCAAAAUUACACCUCGUGGACGCAUUGUCGCUGGAGAAGAACCGCCCUUGCAAGAAGAAGACGCUAUCAAUGAAGUUGAGGUACCAGAACAACCAACUGAUCAAAUCCUUUUGAUCGACCCACAAAACUUUCAAUAUGAAGAUAUUCCCGAAGAUGCGACAGAUGAAGCACGUGAAGACGAGUUCGAGAGAAGCGACGAUGAUGAUUGUAAUGAUAGUGAUGAGAACGAAAACGAUUUAGAGUGAUGUAAUAUUGAUGAGAACGAAAACGAUUUAGAGUGAUGUAAUAUAUGUCUCUGAUGUUGUAUUUCUCUAUUGUAACGUAUGUUUAAAGAAAUAUUGUUUUUUUACCAUCCUAAUGUAUGUGUAACAAAUGUUGUUUUAUAUAAUAUGUAUUUCUUUAGUUUUUAAAAAAUUAUUUGGAGUUUUAGGGUUUUAGAGUUUAAGUUGGAGAAAGAGCACAAAGUAGUUGAGAAGAGAUAUGAUGUUAGAUGAUAUUUGACUUUGGGGUUUAUGGAUUUCAUUCUCGGUGUUUAGGGUUAAGCGUUGUAAAAUCGUCGUAAAUGGUUAUCUAUUCCACGUAAUUUCGUCGUAAAUGAAAAAACGCGGGCCUGGUAACUUCGUCGUAAACGUGGGCCUGGUAAAUUCAUCGUAAACCGACGUUUCGACGUAAUUUCGUCGUAAAUCAAAAAACGCGGGCCUAGUAAAUUCGUCGUAAAUGAAAAAACGCGGCCCUGGUAACUUCGUCGUAAUAUUACGUCGCGUUUACGACGAAUCCUUUUCUAUAUAUUGAGACGCCGAGACGAGGCUUCCUCGUUCAUUCCUCCCAAACUCCUCUCCUCUCCCUCUAAGGUACAUUCUCUUUCCUCCUUUUUUUUUUUAAAGUUAGUUUAGGUUAUUAAUUAGUUAGGUAAUUAGUUUAGGUGAUUAGUUAGAAAACGGAAUACUAUAGUUUAGGUGAUUAGUUAGGUAACGGAAUAAUUUUUUAAUUAUGUCGUCAUAAUUGAUUAAAUUUAUUUAAAUUUUUUUUAGAUGGCUCCUAGAAGGAAACCAGCAGCACCUACUUAUGCCCAGUUNNNNNNNNNNNNNNNNNNNNNNNNNNNNNNNNNNNNNNNNNNNNNNNNNNNNNNNNNNNNNNNNNNNNNNNNNNNNNNNNNNNNNNNNNNNNNNNNNNNNUUUUAAAAUCAUGUGUAUCUUCUUAUAAUAAAAAUGUUAAACCAUUGAUCAUUAAUUUUUAACAUAAUAAUUUUAAUAGUUUUAGUCAUUUAUUGUCGUUUUUAAAAAUUCAAAAUAUAACAUAUACGAAAAAAAUCUAAAUUUUAUUUUUAUAGCUAAUUUGAUUGUUUAAUUUAUUUUAAUAAUAUAAAAUUAAACAAAAAAUGAUGGAGGAGAUAUACAUUGUUAUCAAAUCUUUAUCAUUAAACUCAUUAAUUGUCAUAUAUAUAUUAGUCAUUUAUGGUAAUUCCGUAGGUUUUAUUUAAGGAAAGAAAAUAUCAUAUCAUAUCAUUAUAUCAUAUAGUUUGACCAACUUAUGUAUCUAACAACAUAUAAAAAUCGAAUGUGGACCUACUUAUUUUUCAAUUGAAUGUAAUUGAUUACCUAAUUGAGUGCCACCUAUGCAUUGGGGUCUCUUUUAAUUAAUACAAAAUUGAGGUUACAUCUUUUCAAAUGCUCCUCAAUUAAUAUAUAAGGGAUUGUUUCUUUUUGACCGACGACAAAAAUUUCGAAAUUAGUGAACGACGCAUGAACUAACCAGUUUCAUUAAGAGUUAUUUCUUCGACGUACUGAAGGUAUUGUUUUUGUUAUGAUUAACAAAGGAUCAAAACCCUUACAUAUAUUUAUCUGUCGGAGCUUCAAUAGUCACCUCUACUUAAAUAUUUAUCUUUUUUUAUCUUUUGUUUAAUUAAAUCCACUAUUUUGGUUUUCAACUAACCUACUGAAAAUAUAUAGAACAAUAUCACCAUGUGAUAUAUCCAUAUCCAGCGUUUUGUGAUCACACGUCUUUAGCUGUAUAACUUCUAGCUAGCAUUGCCAAACUAAGCUACAAAAAACAGAAACGGAUUCAAAUAAUUUUAUGCAAAAAUAUGAUUUCAAGAGAGAGAAUUGAAGCAUACAAGUUAUGUCACGUUGAUAAGCUCGUUGAUAAGUUGAGCUUAUGUGGAUGUUGGAAACCAACUCUAGAAUCUUGAAAGCUAUAUUCCAGGCAACACUCGUUCUCGUCAGUGGCUAAACGAGAGUCAAAGAACCCUAAAAUAUAUCUAUUAGAAUAUAUGUACAUACUUGACCAAUAUAUAUAUAUAUAUAUAUAUAUAUAGAUGAUAUAUGUGUGUAUGUGUUUCCACUAGAGAUUUUAUUAGUAUACAUUUCCAACCACGAAAAACUAUUAGAAAAAUAUAAAAUUUGGCUAAUUUGGCAAUUAAAUCUUAAUCCUAAGUAGAAAAAUACUUUGAAUAACCUAUAGGCUUCGAAUGGUGACGACCAACAUCGUCGUUAAUAAUAACAAAAAUUACUAUAUAUACUUAUGUAUCUAUAUAUUUUUGUUACUAUUAGAAGUGCACCACAGUUGUUCCACAGUUAUCUAGCACGGUUACCAUUCGGAUUUAUAGACUAGGAUGUAGUCCACAUGACCAGUGUCAUGUGUUGACGUUAAUGUGUGGUUAUUACCCUUGUUCGGAAACUCGUUAGGCACUACGCGUGCGGCGCACUCGGGCCUAGCGAUUUAUUGAAAAAUCAGAAAAAGGAAAGAAUUUUUUUGUAUUUUUAUAUGUAUAAUACUCUAUUUAUACGUAUAAUACAGAAUUUUAUGUAUAAUACAUGUUUAUGCAUAAAACAUUAUUGAUACUAAAACUCACAUAUUUGAUUUUGUAGGAGCAAACUACUAUAUUGUCCAUAUUUUGUCAAAUAUUUUGUAUACAACUUGAACAAUAGUCUCGUUGCUCACGCACCUUCCUCUCUCCAUUGUCUGCGUUGAGCACUUAAGAACAUUAUUGUGUUUCUUCAAACUAUGCAUUGGUAAAGAGUUCCAAUGUGUGGGCAUGAGGGCAAUACCCUUUCUCCAUCAUAUAUUUCCUCAGGUUUAGUUCUAAAUUGACUUCACCGUUCUCAAAGAACAGCUUCAUGAGCAUAAUAACAAUGUCUUUGGAACCAAACACCUUCCCUUGAUUUUGUGGUAACGCACCACUCACGUCUCCGCAUAUCAUGAUCAACAAAGAAUUAUAAUCUUUACAGUUUACAAUCAUGUGAACCUUCUCUUAGGAAUUUCAUCGAACAGUUGGCGUGUCUUUUGAUUUGUUCAGGCUACACCAACACAACCACCAUGUAUCUGUAACGAGGGUUCAAUCUUUCGAAAACCCAUUUCUACAAAGCAACCACUAAAGCCAAUCUCUGUUCUGUUUGGAAAAAUGAAAAAAAGUUGUUAGAUAAUAUCGGAGCAAGGAAACGAAACAUACGAAUCGGAGGAAGUUUUUUCACCAUUACGCGGACGCGUUUUCUAAUUCUAUGCCGUCCACGUCCAUUCCACGGCCCACCGCGUAAUGCAACCGAAGUGACUCAGUUCGCCACGCAGUCCACCCGCGUCACGUUUAACCGGCCGAGUAAUCGUCUCCGCGGCCGAUUUUUUGAACAAAGGUUAUUACUAAGGCUCUCGGUAAAAUCUGUAAAAUUUAAUUUAAUUUGUUAUUUAUUUCUUUUCAAAUAGAAAGAUUAGAUAUAUGUAAUUUUACGAAGUAAAUCAUAUACUAAUAUCCACAGUAAACGAAACAAUUCACAUAUAUUAAUAUUUUUAAAGUAGAUAUUUAGGCAUAUCCGUUAUAUGCAUAUAUAUAUAUACACAUAUUUAAAGAAUUACAUAUAUACAUUAUAUAAUUAUUAUAUUUAUGUGAGUUUUACAGCAUUUUUAUUUUUAAAAUUAUUUUAUUUUACAUUUUAGAGUUUAAAAAGUCAAUAUUUUUUGUGAUUAAAUAUUAUUAUUUUAUACUAUAUUUGGAUUAUUAUAUAAUUUUUAAUUUUUAUAUCAUUGAUAUGGAUCAAAUCAAAUAUCUGACCAAAUGUAUAAUUUUUUGAUUCGAUCAUAACUGAUUAUUCGAAUAAUAAUAAUCCCUAAUAAUAAUGACUACACAUUAACGUUCAUAAGCGCACUUAUCACGUAAACUGGAAUUUUAUUCUGCUAAUUAGACAAACUUGAAAAAAGUCUAGUAUUUUCCGCACAAACCCAACUCUACUUUCAUUAGCUACUAUACUAGUUUUAUUAGCUCUUAAUGGUGUUCAUGACCAUAUUGCUUUUUAUAAUUGUUAAAACAACACAAAGGAUUGGCUCUGCUAAAUCCAUUCAUAUUAUUAUUAUUAUAUUUGGAACAAAAGAAUGAAUUUGGGUACAAAUUUGGCGUACCGUCACAGCCUUGUCUAAUCAUGGAGAAUGCAUUGCAUCUAAAAUAUACUUUUAUAUAUAUUCUUCACUCAGGCAGAACUUUGUCUAGAUUGUUAUAUAGAAUUAUAGAUGAUAAGAUUGCAUGUGCGCUUUAUGGGUUGAUCGUAAAUAUUUACACACACAUUUUUAAUAUCGUAACUAAAAGUAAUGUUAUAAAAUUGUUAUAAAAUUGAUGCUAGAAUCUUAUGAUCUAACUACGUGUGUUUUUGACAACAAAAAAAACUACGUGUGUGUACUGUUACUAUAUAUGAAAUAAAGUUAAGUGGCUUUACUUAGUUCUGUUAAUCGUCUAUUAUAAUUAAACCACUCAACCUUAAGAAUGUAAUAUACUUAGUUCCAAAAUACGAGUUUAAGGCGUUCCGUGGAUUCCCAAGAAACCCGAAUUCGAAUCCACACCACAUCAGUUUUUCACACGCGUGACCACCGAAGCUUUUUACAUUAUCUUUCCGAAAAAUAGUAGUUUCAAAAUACAGCAACAAUAUAUUCAUGCGAAAAAAAAAUAUAUUCAUGUGUUUCAAAAGAAAUUUUGUAACGAAAUGUUAUAUUAGUAUAUACAUAACAUAAUUUUAAAACGACAAAUAUCUACAAGAUAUAUCUGUGUAUAUAAUUUAAAUUUGAAUAUGUCACAUAUAAUAAAUAUAAUAAAAGAAAUGGAGUGAGUGGAGAAUAGUGGAAUGAUAAAAAGAUUGGAGAUAUGGUUGAGAAAGUAAUAAAGAGAAGAAAAGGAAGAAGCGACGGGGAAGCGACAAGUAAGAAGAUGCUUUACUCAAAGAGGCAUGAAGAGAUAAGAAUUAAGCCACUGUUUCUAUCAGAUUCUUUGGUCCCUCUUUAGCCUUUUUCAUCCUUCUAUUGGUUAUAUUCUGCUUGCAUCCGUCAUCCAUGAGUUCACUACACCCACACAAAAAAAUUGUAUUAACCCUAACGUUCUUCUUCUUUUUUUUUUUUUUGGUAAAAACGUUUUUAGGUCAUGUUUCUUUUCUGACUAUGGGCCGUAUACUAUCUUUUAGCUACCGUAAACAUUUUUAUAUGUUGAUGAACCGCCAUUUAAAAUUUGCUUUUGAUAAAAAAACUCAAUAUAUGUAAAUUGCAACCCUACUUAUUCAAGUAAUCUUCGUACAACAUCAACUAGACCUUUGAUAUAAACUUUAUCUAUUGCGCGCUUCCAUAUAAUCUUAUGCGGUUCUGCUAGAAAGUAAGAUAGAUUUAGAUGUUUUGUGAAAUUAAUUCAUUUUUACAAUGGAAACGUAGACUUGGGCCAGGAGCUUUUUGCUCCUGAGAGGCAUGAAGAUAUGGUAGAGAAAGUAAUAAAGCGAAAAAAAGGAAGAAGCUAUGGGGAAGCGAUAAGUACGAACAUGCUUUACUCAAAGAGGCAUGAAGAGAUAAGAAUUAAUAAGGAGUUCUUUUCUUAACUUGUCGAACCAACCUAGUUUUUUACCUCUUUCUAGUAUUGUUGUUUAAAUCUACUUAAACAAAAUCUACAGGCAUGGGCGACAUGACAUUUCUUAUCUAGUACUACUGAAUAUGUGAAAUGUUAUUACACUAGAGGAUUUUGUAUUUUUGCAAGAAAUAACAUGUUGAGUAUGAUCUUCUUUUUGUGAACAUAUACAAAUGAGUAUGAUCAAAAAAUAUAUAACAACACGAAAGGAAACACAAGACAGUCAAAACCCAUUUACUGCUCAGAGGUCUUCUAAUGGUGCAUCAUUUUGAAGGAAAACAUAAAAAAUAAUACACCAUUAGAUAAAUUUUCUCUCAUUUUUUAUAUUUUCUCUCAAAAUGAAUAUUCUUUAUAUUUAUCAAUUAGUUCUUAAAAUUUUAUAUAAUUCUGUUUUAUAUUUAAAAAGACUCAAUAUUUAUGUUUUAUUCUUUAGAGAAAUCAUUAAUACUUUUGUAAAUAAUAUAGAAAUUUGUUUAUAAGCAUUUUAGAAUCAAUAUUAAAUAGUAUUUAAUAAGAAAAAAAUGAAAAAAACCAUUGGAGCAAAAUGCAAAUUCAUUUUGAGUUUACUCAUUUUUAGAGAGAAAAUGAUGUAAACUAUUGGAGAUGCCUUUAGCUAGCUUUUUAGUAGUAAAGACUUGUAGUCAUACAAAAAUGACAGAAUUUAAAUCUGCUUGGUCAGAAACGUAAUUAUAUCAAUUACAGUAGAAUUAGUGUACUGAUUUUGUUUUUGUUUCUCUAUUACUUUUAUUUUUAUUUUAUUUUUAUUUUAUUUUUGGUGCACAUGUUUCUCUAUUUUUAUAAAAGAAGAAAAAUCACAGCCUUAAAAUAACUGUUUUGGAAAAAAGACAAACAUGAUAAAAAAACAUGCCAAUAUGUCUCUAUGACUAUGAGUUGGAGAUAGACCCACCUACAGCUCGUAAAGUUUGACUAUAUAACCUUUUGUAGGAAUAAUGUACAAGAUUCUGCCAUAUAUGUAGUUUACAGAAAUUACAAAAUAGAGGAGGAAAUUAAAUCGAACCAUACAUUCUAUACACAUAUAUGUAAUUUUUUCUGUGUUUUUGUUAACAUAAGAUUUCAAACCAAAUUAAAUUUUGUUAAUUUUCUAAAUACAUAGCUUGUAUAAAAAUUAUAUUAUAAGAAAUGCAAGUAACAAAAAUUGAUAGGUAAAAGAAUCUUUUCUGAUAUCCAAAUAAUAGAACCAAUGACCGCUCUCUUUCACUCGGCUUCUCAUAACAUAAAUAAUUUUCUUACCAAUACAUAACUAAAAGAUUUACUCUUUUCUCUAUAUGGCAUUUUUUUUUAUUUGGUAUAACUGUAUAUGGCAUUUGAAUAUGGAACCUGGGACAGCACGGCAUCUUUCUUUUGCUGGUCGUCUGCAGCUUAUUGGCUCAGUGGCCACAGAUGAUGCAGGUUCUGAUGGAUGGUUUACAUGAAAAAACUAAUACCUUUCUUCUCCGGUACAGCUUCAAAGCUACUGCGUAUGCCAUAUGGCAUGAACAACGUCCGUCGAGUAGGAGAUUCUCCAAAGAACCCAUGUCGACUGAUUUCCUUCCUUGACAAGUUGGUCUGAAACCGAACCUGUUUGCCGAACCUGUCUGAUUAGGGGAAGAGGUGGAAGGAAACACGAAAAGGCCAUGGUGCUGUGGUUUGCUAGCUAAUGAAUUCACUUCAUUUUUAUCUAGUUCUUUUAGCUCUAUAUUCUUACUCAAAUAAUAUUUUUUUGUUCUCAAUUCUUUUAAUGAGGUGAGUUAAUUUAAAAUUGAAAGAAGAAUAUGGAAACUGGGGAGAUAAAUAAAUAACACAGAUAUUUAAAUACUAGACUCUAUAUUUCAUCAGUGUUUAAAAAUAAUUAGAUUCACGCUAAGAUCCGAUUUAACUUUAUAUCGCCCAAAUGUAGUAAAUUAAUUAUGACUGUAACACCCAAUCUCAAUCAUCGGUUCUCUCUCUUUCUAGUUGCUAACUUUACUUUACUUUUGCAGUAUCACCCAUCAUUGUCUCACGGCUAUAUUGAAGCCAUCUUCUCAUAGACAAACUGAAAAAUAUUGGAAAUUUUUUCGUGGCAGUACUAACGGCGAUUUUAUAUAUUUAUACAGAUCUUGAUAUCUUUAUUCGGUGAUAUGAUGACUAUAUUAUGCUUCCUAUAAGAUCUCCCGUGAGUAAUAACUAUGAGAAAAAUUAAAUCAUCAACUUGAAAAAUUCGACAGGUUCUGUUCAAACAUAUUACCCCAGGUGCUUGUAUAAUGCCAAGAUACCACUACUUGUAGGUCAUCAAUUAGCGGUAGAAUGGUAAGAGCACACUAGCUAGGAGAUAAUUCUAAUUUUACCACAAACUUAAUACUACUUUCAAAUUUACCUUUAAAAGAUGACUAUUUUCAUAAAUACUCUUAUUUUUUAUAAGAAAAUUAAACUAACCAUUUUAAAUCAUUUAUAAAAGUUAAACAAUCAUUUAUAAAAUUUUAUAAACCCAACUUCACUCCUUAGAAACUAAACCCUAAAUAAUAAUCAAUAAAUCCUAAACCUAAAUGUCAAGAUACUUUAAUUUGACUGAAAAUAUUUUUGAAAAGUAAUAGCUAACUUAUAGUAUUUCAAGCAAUUUCUCUUUUGUUUUCCUCUCUUUUGCUUACAAACUCUCGCAUGCUUAGAUAGAGAAAAAAUCGUUCUAAUUAGAAAAAAUACCAUUGUUUUCAUUUCAUUUCAAGAUUUUUUUUGGAUGAAAGUACAACGUUACAAAUGAGCAAAACAAAGGAUUACUUUACAUAUACAAAUUGCGCUUAUUACUGUAUUAUUACGAUACAUAACACGAUUACAAAAGAGUAUUUGUACUCCCUACACACAACUUCCUCUCUAUUUGCACUCCAUACACUAUUUCCCCUCAAUUUUUUUCCCCCCAACACUACCAUUUUCCCUCAAUUCAAUGGUAUCCCACUCUUUUCAGUGUAUUGAGCUAAUUUGGUCUACAAAACUAAGUUCAAAUUAAUAUAUAUAUAUAUAUAUAUAUGUAUAUAUAAAUGUAUAAUUUUCCAAAGAAGCAAAUUUAUCUUACAAAAUAAAAAGAUAAAUCCAAAAAGUGUGAACUCGAUCAUUAGCCGGGAAUAAUAUAUAUGUUGUCAACAAUGUAUUAUUUUUUUCGAAAGAGAAUUAAAAAGCCGUAUAUACCAAAGGAACCAAUUAUUUACAAGUGACAACAUUAUUCCAAACUGGUUGAAUUAAACAGAUCAAUGCACCUGGAGCGCAGAAACCAUAUCGCUGCUCAAUAUGCGUCUAUAAAUAGUGGUUUCAAGAAAUCUCCUCAACAGCUCAUCAACGACUCUUUGGGUAAUUCUCUAGACACAUACAUAUAUCGAUAUCAUACAGGUGUCUUAUAUAGAGCCCUGUUAUAAAAUCAAAACUCCUAUACUUUUGUCAAGUUCUUGAUGACCAUGAUGAGAGGUUUUUUCAAGUUCUUUUAAUAUCCCGUACUUUCAAUCGUAAACCCAAAAUCUAUUUUUAAUGGUUUGAGAGGCAUUGAUAGUGUUGACAGAAGAUAGAGAGCACGGAUGAUGAGAUACAAUAUGGAACAGUUUCUUUGCAUCUUACUCCUUUGUGCUCUCUAGCCUUCUGUCAUCACUUUCUAUUUGCUUAAUCUUUUUCUUUCUUUUCGUUUUUUUUAUUUAACACUCUUCUAUAACACACUUUUUAAGUCUACGAAUAAUUUUUUUUCAAAUGAAUGUAAAUUUAUUCAAUCAAAACACGUGGUACAUCAAGUGCAUCUAUUGUUUGUUUGAUUAAAGAAUCAAAUAAUUGAACUUAAUAAACAAUGAAAAAAAUGUGCUUGAGCUUCAUGUUGUAGGAGAAUCUUGUGACCUUGUCCCAAACCAAGUGCGUAAGCCUUCAUCAAGAUGCUUUAUACCCCUUCCCUUGGAUUGAUAACAUUAUGACGCGGACCGUUUUGUCUACAAACUUAGUCAGGCUAUUCGCAUCAGACGGUUGCUCACCAUGUCGACGCGAGUUACGCUUCCUCCAUAUACUGUGAACAGUGCUUGAAAGGUAUAGCGUAGAAGAAAUACCUCUGUAGGAUUGUGUCUCGUAGUGGUGUGAUAAUGUCAAUCAUAUCACUACACGUUGGUGAUAAUCCACUAAUAAUUACAUUAUUGACUGAAGCAAUUAUGAACUUGUAAAGGCCAAAACACCAGUUUGGUUUCUCUAAUACCAAUAAUCAAUAUUCCUGUAUUUUCCCAGUUGGUCAUGAGAUAUAUUAGGUAUUAUAGGCUCUUUUUUGGCCAAAGUUAUAGCUUAUAUAUUGCAUUUUUCAUUAUUAACUUAAUUAGAGCUUCAUUGGAUAGUAUGUUUAUUUUUCGAAAGGCACAUAAAUAAACUCUAGUAUGCUAGAUCUACAAGAAUACAAGACACAAGACACUAGUCACCAAUAGGCUAGUACUGCAGUCCUUAAAUCUAUUCUGUCAAACAUAAUAUACAAAUAACAUUUAGUUAGUAUAUAAUUUACAAAAAUAUCAUUAAAAAUUAAAAUUAUAUUUAAAAUUUUCAUUAAUGGUAUUUUUAAUUAUUAUUUAAACAUUAUAUCAUUUUACAAAAAUGUACCAUCACACAUAACAUCAUUUUACCAUCUAAACAGUAUUGUUUAUAUUUGACAUUUUCUAUUUAAUAUAGUAAAAUCUUAUAAUUUUGUAUUUUAUAUUUUAAAUAAUUAAUUAAAUUCAUAGAAAAUAUUAAAAUAAUAUAAACAAAUAUUAUAUAAAAGUAUUUUUAAUUAUUCUUUCACGUUAUAAUAUAUACAAGAAAUAACGUAUUACUCAGAAUAGAACUUUAUGGUUUGAGUUAAAAUUUUCUCAUCAUAUAACGAAUAUACCUGAAGUGCAAGAUAAAAUUUUCUAUUUCUAUAUUAACACAUUAUUUUCAUAUAAAUUAUAAACCUUGGAAUAAGAAAAUAAAUUCCACACCUAGGGCGUUUAACCUUCAGUUCAGUUGGUGACAAUUUAAUCAAACAGAAAAAUGAACAAAACAUUCAGAUGAAAAAUUAAUAAAUAUAAAUAUAUGAAAUCUUGUUUAAUCCGAUGAAUUUUUUCUUCGUAACUUUUUCAUUCAUAAAAGUAACUAGAGGAACAUGGUGGACCCACUGACAUAAAAUUUAAGGAAUAAGAAUUUUACCAUCAUAUUUUUUCUAAGAAUUAGUUAAUGUUUGAUUGCAAGGUGAAUCAUGGAAUUAUAAUGUUGUCAUAGGGUCUAGACACUAGUGUUUUCCUAUCUAACACAUAUUCAUGAUGGAUAGUAAUAGGUUUGCAUUUUAUUUAAAUUAAAUAUUUAAUUUAUAAAUUUAUCGAAUAUCGAGUACCGAGUUUGCUUUCGUAUUACCAUUAUACUAGGUGUUUUACCUGCACAUACGAGCUUAAUUCUUUUACAAAUAUUUAUUAGUUUAUUUUUUAUUAAUUCAAAAACCAGCAUAAUAACUUAUUAUUUAUGUUUUCAAAAUAGUAAAUCAAACAUCAACUUAUAUAUAUAUAUAUAUAUAUAUAUUACAAAAAAAUUAAUUAAAAUAUAUAUGUUUAUUAUUGUGUAGAAAUUUUAAAAAGAAAACAUUCACAUUUAGAAAUAUUUUAAAAAAUAUCUUUAUACAAAUAUAGUUGAUUAAUAUUUAAUUAUGAAUUUUUUAUAUGUUAUUUUCCUAACUUUUAUAAUUGAAAUUUUUUUUUAAGAUAACAACACAAUAUAUAAGAAUUAUCUUAUUUAAAACAAAUUAUAAUAUUAUAAAUAAAAUUUCGUUUUUAAUUAUGUAAUUAAUUAUAUAUAAAAUUCGUUAAGGGUAUAACACUUAAUUUAUUAUAAAUUGUAAAAAUUUAAGAUAACAACAUAAUAUAUAAGAAUUAUCUUAUUUUUUAAAAAAAUCUAAUAUUAUAAAUAAAAUUUUGUUUUUAAUUAUGUAAUUAAUUAUAUAUAAUCUCCUCAACAGUUUGAAAUACUUGGAGACUCUAGAUUUUUAUGACUAAAAAAUUUUAAAUCUGUAAAUCCGUGGACUUUUUUUUCUAAACGAGGUGUAUAUCAUGUAACUGAACUCUUUUUUGAAAAGUAGACAUUUUCAAAUCAAACUUAAAUGUGUAAUUUUCAAUGAUUCUACUAGAAAAUUUAGGAGUUUAACCUAUAAGCAAAAAAGAAAGAAAAAGACAAUAAAAUUGUUCAGGCAAUUGAACUAACAACAAUCCAUUCUCAUGACACAAUAUAUAGAUUUUUUUUAUGUAAAUCCAAUUAGCUUAGUAUGAAGUAUGGACACUAUGAGAAUGAGUCAAAUGGUCAUAUAAACUCGUAUUUGAACAGUUAUAUCAACAAUUAUCUCCCAAAAAAAUAAGAAAAGCAAAAAUGGGAUUUGAAUGUGUUUUGCUUUCAUGAUCUCUCAAAGAGACCUUUAACAUAAACCAUGCCUUUCUCACUAAACUGAAGCUCCUUCCUCAUUUCUUCAACCUGUACAUCAUUUCCUUGAACCACAACCUCAUUCAAUUUACCAUUUUCUCCCACCAUCAUCUUCACCUUUAUCUCCUCUUUCCUCGACGCCUUCUUCCAGUAAUACGCUCCUCUGCAACACAUCCAUCCAUCCAUCAUCACCAAUCAUUCACAAACAGUUUCAGAGACACAAAGAGAGAGUAAGCUUACGCAAGCGGACUAAGAAUGGUAAUGAAGAACCAAUUAUUUCCAAAAUCAGGCACAGUAAUGGUUAGUACAAGACCCACACUUGCUAAGCUUAUACAUGUACAGAACGUGAGCAGAGCAGCUUGUCCUCUACUCGGAACCAUUGUUCCUUCAAACCUUUUUUUUCACAAUCAAACAAACAAACAAUGUCAGUAACUGAAACAAAAAUUAAAAAAGUUCGAAGCUUUCUUCUGAAUUAGCAGCUUACGUGAUCGUUUCUCCACGAUCAGUGAUGUUGAAGUUCUUCCUAGUGAAGAAAGAGAGAAUCUCUCCAGCAACUUGCUUUGGCUCCUUCUUGACUCCUUCUCCUUCUCCAACAACGAACGUCUUCCUCACUAUCUGAAAAAGAUCCAAACAUUGGAUUCGUUGAUGGUGAAGUGAGAGAGAGUGACCAAAGUUCGAACCUUUGAUUUAACGGAGCGUUUGAUGAGAGACCAAAGACCCGGAACUGAAAUAACGAACAAACCCAACGACGUGUAGUAGCUAGCCAACGAGUAACCACCACCAGUCUCCGCCAUUAACAGCAACGAACUAGUGUUCUGUUCCCACCAUUGAUGAAUCUGAACCGCCGAUGAAGAAACAGCAGUUAGAGGCUCCACAACCAUGGCUGUAACUCUGUUUCGUUUCGUGACAAAGUCCCGUCUCCGCCCUUUGAUUACAACAUCUCUUGAAGUCACCCAUGGACAAGACAGCGAUGGAGAAAACAGCUUCGUCGCCAUUGUCGAGAGAGAGAGAGUCUAUGGCUUUCAAAUGGCUUUUUACAAGAUCGUGUGUGUGUAAACAAGUCUAUCCAAAAUCGAGUGGUUCUCAUUUUUUUCUCAAUUUUAAUUUAAUUUGAAUAUAUGAUGACGUAGGUCGUUGCAAUAACAGAACCUCUGUUUCUCUGUAAGAGGUCAUCAAAGAUCUGGAAGGUAGAUCAAAUGAGACCCACCAACCAUCAUUUAACGAGUUCACUCACUCAUCAACAGAGAGACAAGAGUCUUUAUCAUUGAGAUCUUUCUCCCCGACACAAAAUCUGACCCAAACAUGAUUUUGAUUUCUUUUUGAAACCUGUUUAAAUGACUACUGUUUAUAGAGUUCUGCGUGUCCACAAAGGUUUUUUUUUAAUUUUAUUUUAGCAAAAAAACUAGGGACAUUAAUUAAUUACUAGAACAAGAAAACAGAGUAUUGAGUCAUUGAGAAAGCAAGAAUCUUAUUAGAGACAAAAGAUAAAACAGAGUUGCUUCACAACAUCUCACAACCAGUUUUGUAAUUGGAAUCUUUUUGAUCAAAGUUUUUUUUGCUGGACCAUCCUCUCUACUUUGGUAAUAAAGGCUAUAAAUCAUAGGUGGGUUGAAAAGCUAAGGUCAAAUCGUUUUCCCAAAGUUGCUACUUUAUAGGAAAAAAAAAAAAGUAACUCUGAAUCUUUUUGGGUCCAAACAUAAUAAGUAGUAGGAUUCUUGAAACAGAGGAGUACAUCAUCUUUCUUUCUAACAGGGAGUUUACAUUUUCUGACACUGUAAAUUUGUUGGUCCAAACUUUAUUAUAUCUACUGUAACAGCUAGUGAUUUUCUGCUAGUCCUAACAGAUGGAUUUGCUAACACAACAACAACAACAGAGAGAAAUCACACAACAUUCCACACUCAUUGCUUCCUUUUUAUAUCAUCAAUAAAUAAUGUUUUUUACAAAGUUAUAUUUUCUGCACUCAUUUUUUAAAAAAAUUGCUGAAAAUAACCUCCAAAGGAAGUAGAAAAAAAGGAGGAAAAAAACAAACAAACAAAUAAUAAUAGCUCAGCUGUUCUUUAUACACUUAACAUAAACAGCUGAUCAGUCUUCUCCUUCAUCCUCCUCUUAAAUAUAUAUAUAUAUAUAUAUGUAUAUAUAAAUGUAUAAUUUUCCAAAGAAGCAAAUUUAUCUUACAAAAUAAAAAGAUAAAUCCAAAAAGUGUGAACUCGAUCAUUAGCCGGGAAUAAUAUAUAUGUUGUCAACAAUGUAUUAUUUUUUUCGAAAGAGAAUUAAAAAGCCGUAUAUACCAAAGGAACCAAUUAUUUACAAGUGACAACAUUAUUCCAAACUGGUUGAAUUAAACAGAUCAAUGCACCUGGAGCGCAGAAACCAUAUCGCUGCUCAAUAUGCGUCUAUAAAUAGUGGUUUCAAGAAAUCUCCUCAACAGCUCAUCAACGACUCUUUGGGUAAUUCUCUAGACACAUACAUAUAUCGAUAUCAUACAGGUGUCUUAUAUAGAGCCCUGUUAUAAAAUCAAAACUCCUAUACUUUUGUCAAGUUCUUGAUGACCAUGAUGAGAGGUUUUUUCAAGUUCUUUUAAUAUCCCGUACUUUCAAUCGUAAACCCAAAAUCUAUUUUUAAUGGUUUGAGAGGCAUUGAUAGUGUUGACAGAAGAUAGAGAGCACGGAUGAUGAGAUACAAUAUGGAACAGUUUCUUUGCAUCUUACUCCUUUGUGCUCUCUAGCCUUCUGUCAUCACUUUCUAUUUGCUUAAUCUUUUUCUUUCUUUUCGUUUUUUUUAUUUAACACUCUUCUAUAACACACUUUUUAAGUCUACGAAUAAUUUUUUUUCAAAUGAAUGUAAAUUUAUUCAAUCAAAACACGUGGUACAUCAAGUGCAUCUAUUGUUUGUUUGAUUAAAGAAUCAAAUAAUUGAACUUAAUAAACAAUGAAAAAAAUGUGCUUGAGCUUCAUGUUGUAGGAGAAUCUUGUGACCUUGUCCCAAACCAAGUGCGUAAGCCUUCAUCAAGAUGCUUUAUACCCCUUCCCUUGGAUUGAUAACAUUAUGACGCGGACCGUUUUGUCUACAAACUUAGUCAGGCUAUUCGCAUCAGACGGUUGCUCACCAUGUCGACGCGAGUUACGCUUCCUCCAUAUACUGUGAACAGUGCUUGAAAGGUAUAGCGUAGAAGAAAUACCUCUGUAGGAUUGUGUCUCGUAGUGGUGUGAUAAUGUCAAUCAUAUCACUACACGUUGGUGAUAAUCCACUAAUAAUUACAUUAUUGACUGAAGCAAUUAUGAACUUGUAAAGGCCAAAACACCAGUUUGGUUUCUCUAAUACCAAUAAUCAAUAUUCCUGUAUUUUCCCAGUUGGUCAUGAGAUAUAUUAGGUAUUAUAGGCUCUUUUUUGGCCAAAGUUAUAGCUUAUAUAUUGCAUUUUUCAUUAUUAACUUAAUUAGAGCUUCAUUGGAUAGUAUGUUUAUUUUUCGAAAGGCACAUAAAUAAACUCUAGUAUGCUAGAUCUACAAGAAUACAAGACACAAGACACUAGUCACCAAUAGGCUAGUACUGCAGUCCUUAAAUCUAUUCUGUCAAACAUAAUAUACAAAUAACAUUUAGUUAGUAUAUAAUUUACAAAAAUAUCAUUAAAAAUUAAAAUUAUAUUUAAAAUUUUCAUUAAUGGUAUUUUUAAUUAUUAUUUAAACAUUAUAUCAUUUUACAAAAAUGUACCAUCACACAUAACAUCAUUUUACCAUCUAAACAGUAUUGUUUAUAUUUGACAUUUUCUAUUUAAUAUAGUAAAAUCUUAUAAUUUUGUAUUUUAUAUUUUAAAUAAUUAAUUAAAUUCAUAGAAAAUAUUAAAAUAAUAUAAACAAAUAUUAUAUAAAAGUAUUUUUAAUUAUUCUUUCACGUUAUAAUAUAUACAAGAAAUAACGUAUUACUCAGAAUAGAACUUUAUGGUUUGAGUUAAAAUUUUCUCAUCAUAUAACGAAUAUACCUGAAGUGCAAGAUAAAAUUUUCUAUUUCUAUAUUAACACAUUAUUUUCAUAUAAAUUAUAAACCUUGGAAUAAGAAAAUAAAUUCCACACCUAGGGCGUUUAACCUUCAGUUCAGUUGGUGACAAUUUAAUCAAACAGAAAAAUGAACAAAACAUUCAGAUGAAAAAUUAAUAAAUAUAAAUAUAUGAAAUCUUGUUUAAUCCGAUGAAUUUUUUCUUCGUAACUUUUUCAUUCAUAAAAGUAACUAGAGGAACAUGGUGGACCCACUGACAUAAAAUUUAAGGAAUAAGAAUUUUACCAUCAUAUUUUUUCUAAGAAUUAGUUAAUGUUUGAUUGCAAGGUGAAUCAUGGAAUUAUAAUGUUGUCAUAGGGUCUAGACACUAGUGUUUUCCUAUCUAACACAUAUUCAUGAUGGAUAGUAAUAGGUUUGCAUUUUAUUUAAAUUAAAUAUUUAAUUUAUAAAUUUAUCGAAUAUCGAGUACCGAGUUUGCUUUCGUAUUACCAUUAUACUAGGUGUUUUACCUGCACAUACGAGCUUAAUUCUUUUACAAAUAUUUAUUAGUUUAUUUUUUAUUAAUUCAAAAACCAGCAUAAUAACUUAUUAUUUAUGUUUUCAAAAUAGUAAAUCAAACAUCAACUUAUAUAUAUAUAUAUAUAUAUAUAUAUUACAAAAAAAUUAAUUAAAAUAUAUAUGUUUAUUAUUGUGUAGAAAUUUUAAAAAGAAAACAUUCACAUUUAGAAAUAUUUUAAAAAAUAUCUUUAUACAAAUAUAGUUGAUUAAUAUUUAAUUAUGAAUUUUUUAUAUGUUAUUUUCCUAACUUUUAUAAUUGAAAUUUUUUUUUAAGAUAACAACACAAUAUAUAAGAAUUAUCUUAUUUAAAACAAAUUAUAAUAUUAUAAAUAAAAUUUCGUUUUUAAUUAUGUAAUUAAUUAUAUAUAAAAUUCGUUAAGGGUAUAACACUUAAUUUAUUAUAAAUUGUAAAAAUUUAAGAUAACAACAUAAUAUAUAAGAAUUAUCUUAUUUUUUAAAAAAAUCUAAUAUUAUAAAUAAAAUUUUGUUUUUAAUUAUGUAAUUAAUUAUAUAUAAAAUUCAUUAAGGGUAACAUUGACUUUAACCACUUGAUUUAUUAUAAAAAAUUUUAUAUCUUACUUUAAAUUUAUAAUUAAAAAAAUAUGUUUUAAGAUAACAACAAAAUAUAUAAGAAUUAUCUUUUUUUUUAAAUAAUAAUAUUAUUAAUAAAAAUUUGUUUUUGAUUAUAUAUAAAAUUCAUUAAGGGUAUAAACGUUAUUAACCGGUCUAACUUUCAACGUGAGAGCCCAAUUCUAAAAAAAUACUUUAAAUUGUUUUAUAUCUUACUUUAAAUUUAUAAUUAAAAAAUAUGUUUUAAGAUAACAAAAAAAUAUAUAAGAAUUAUCUUUAAAAAAAUAUUAUUAAUAAAAAUUUGUUUUUGAUUAUAUAUAAAAUUAUUAAGGAUACAAACGUUAUUAACCGCUCUAACUUUCAACGUGAUAGCUUAAUUCCAAAAAUGUAAUUACUUCGCAAAUAAUAAUAUAGAUUUUUUCUCAGAAUUAGUUAAUGUUCGAUUGCUAGGUGAAUCAUGGAAUUAUGAUGUUGUCAUAUGGUCUAGACACUAGUGUGUUCCUAUCUAACACAUAUUCACGAUGGAUAGUAUAGGUUUGCAUUUUAUUUAAGUUAAAUAUUUAAUUUAUGAAUUUAAAUUAAAUUUUUGAUUAAAUAUCUAACACGUAGUUUGCUUUCGUAUUGUUUUCAGUUAAUCUCAGUUACAUCCUCUUGGGUUACAUCACUUCUAGUGAAGGAAUUAAGAUUGGUUGUGUAAUCAUGUGAUUUUUUUUUGUUAUAAGGAAAAAUUUAUUGUAUAAGGUUUAAAUUUAUCUCUCUCUAGUUUUUUUUUGUUAGCAUCUCUCUCUAGUUAAAUUUAUUGUUUAAUUUAGUUUAAAUAAUUAUAAUCAUAUUUAAUUAAAGAUGAUAGAUUUCAGUUAUAUGUGGCGAUUGGUUAUAAUUUUAUUUGUGGAAUUAAUCCAUCUUUUUCAUUCAUAAUCACAAUGAUUCUUUGGCACAACAUGGACAGAGGAUCAAUACUAUUAAAAGGGAAUGAGUCCUAAAAAAUCUACUUAAAACAAGUCAUAGUUGGACCAUUUCAUUUAACUAAAAUUCCUAUUAUUUCUCAUACUACUAACUUAAUUAUUUUUCAUUAAAAACGAAUUAGUCAUAAAAAAAAUGGUACUAACCUAAUUAUCUACUUAUACGUUUACUAUAUACGCAUUAUUUCAUCAUAAAUAUUUUGAGCUAAUAUUGUAAUGUCCACCCUAUAUUUAUAUAGUAUAUGGUUACUUGUGAUUUAUUUAAUAGAUAAUACCUUCGAAGACUAUAAACAAAAUAUAAUAUCUAUUGUAAAAAAUACAUUUUUUACAAAGAUGAACCAUUAUUUUAUACUAACCUUAUUAACUAAACUGAUUUCAUUAACCAUGUUAUAUAUAUGAACACUUCAACAUUAUCAUUCACAAACUAAACGAUGUUUGUCACAACUUAAUAUUCCAAGUUGGUUGUAUUAUUUUAAUACCAAACCAGUUCCUAUAAAAAUCCAUAGAUAUGAUUAUGGUCUACAUAAAACCGGUUCAAUCUUUCCAUCUGCUAUAUUUUCAGAAAAUGACUAUUUAUCUUCGGUUCUGUUAGAUAUUUAGUCUAACCAAUUAUAAAUCGGUUAGUGAUAACUUCUAAAACUUUGAAAACACUUUGUUAUUUAUUAACACUAUAUCGAUACUUUAAAACAUGUUAGCAGUAGAAUUGUGUUUUAGAACAAAAUCUACUUAUUUUAAAACAUAAUAUUAUUUUGAAAAUAGUUUUGAUACUAUGUGUUAUAUUAAACAUAGUUAUAUAUAUUUGAAAUAAAUAAUUAUAUACAUAAAUUAUACUUUUGGUUAACUAAAUUAUUUAUCAACCAAAUAAAAAUAUUCGGGUAAUUCAAGUUUUCGUGUUAUCCGGUUUAUAAAUAGUAUUUUUAGGAUAUGUGGUUAUUUAAAAAUUGAAUGUAAUUAAUAUUUUUAAAUAUAUAAUUUUUAUUUAAAAAUUCAGGUACUCAUUUGGUUCUCGGUUCGGUUUCAAUUUUUCGGUCAUAGAUUUAUGAUUUGCUAUAUUAUUUAUGCAAUUCAAUUCAAUUUUGGUUUUUCAGCUUGGUACGGUUUGGUCCGUAGUUUUGGAUAAAUGUGCUCAAACUUAUACACUAUCUUAUAUAGAAAUUCGUUUACAAUAUAUUUAAUUACAAAAACAAAUCCUCAGCUUGGUACGGUUUGGUCCGUGGUUUUGGAUAAAUGUGUUCAAACUUAUACACUAUCUUAUAUUGAAAUUCGUUUACAAUAUAUUUAAUUAUAAAAACAAACCUUCGAAGCGUAACAAUGAUAAUAAAGUUGUUAAAAAAAAGAGAUUAUAAAGAUUUAAAUGGGCCAUUUAAAGAUGGUUUAAAGCCCAAUACAUACGUAAGUAAUACUGUCGUCACAGAUGCAUUAUACGUAUACUUUAAUUUCUAUCGAUCUUAUCUGGUUUCACUCACUCGGAUACUCACAAUCACAAAACCAUGAGAUCAUCAGAUAACCUCUGGACCAGAAAACCAGAAGCCAAAACCGGCAAAUCUGAGUUUCCGGUUAUCAGAUUCAUCCGUAGAUACAUGGAGAACAUCAAGGACAAAGCCGGAGGUCCUGGAGUCGGCGGCGGAAUAGGCUGCGGCGCUGGACUCGGCUUCGGACUCGCCGGAGGGCUCGGGUUAGUCACUUCUGAAGGUAUUAACCAUUCCAAUGUGGUUUUUGGCAUCGGUGUGGGUUGCGGUAUUGGGGUUGGGUUUGGGUACGGGUUUGGAGUUGGUGGCGGGUUCAAUUUCGAUGACAUUGGAGAUAAAUUGACCUAUGGGAAGGAAUAGCUCUGGUUAAGAUUCCGUGUCGGGUACAGAUUCGUAAUGUAAUAUUAUUGUAACAAUCCGAACAUUACUCUGCCUUUUUUGUCUUAAUGAGUUCUUCUUACUUGCUUGAAUUUUCUUGCAUAGCUCAACGUAAAAUCACAAUUAUGAAAGAUAAACAUGAAAAUAAUGACGAUAAUUAACAUAUUAACAUUUCAUCAUCGUUGACGUUAGGGCCGGCUCAAGGACAGGGGCCAGCAGUGCAUCCGCCCAGGGUCCACGUACAAAAGGGCCAAGACCAACGUACAAUAGGGGCCCAUAUAUUCCAAUCGUUGAAUAAUUAAAGGGCCUUGUCUAAACUGUUCCAACCGAGUUCCUCUUUAAAUUUUUAAUAUAAUUGUUUGUCGGCAAUGUCAAAGGAAAAACAUCAAAUUUAUGUUCAACAUAUUGGGCUUUAUGGACCAUUGCGGUAGACGAUAGUACAUCAUUUUUAUAAUUUUCUUGUGGAUUUGGGUUUUAUACACAUAUAAAAAUAAAUAAUGAAAAUUGAGUGAUUUAAUUUGGACCCGGAGGGCUCGGGUUAGUCACUUCUGAAGGUAUUAACCAUUCCAAUGUGGUUUUUGGAAUCGGUGUGGGUUGCGGUAUUGGGGUUGGGUUUGGGUACGGGUUUGGAGUUGGUGGCGGGUUCAAUUUCGAUGACAUUGGAGAUAAAUUGACCUAUGGGAAGGAAUAGCUCUGGUUAAGAUUCCGUGUCGGGUACAGAUUCGUAAUGUAAUAUUAUUGUAACAAUCCGAACAUUACUCUGCCUUUUUUGUCUUAAUGAGUUCUUCUUACUUGCUUGAAUUUUCUUGCAUAGCUCAACGUAAAAUCACAAUUAUGAAAGAUAAACAUGAAAAUAAUGACGAUAAUUAACAUAUUAACAUUUCAUCAUCGUUGACGUUAGGGCCGGCUCAAGGACAGGGGCCAGCAGUGCAUCCGCCCAGGGUCCACGUACAAAAGGGCCAAGACCAACGUACAAUAGGGGCCCAUAUAUUCCAAUCGUUGAAUAAUUAAAGGGCCUUGUCUAAACUGUUCCAACCGAGUUCCUCUUUAAAUUUUUAAUAUAAUUGUUUGUCGGCAAUGUCAAAGGAAAAACAUCAAAUUUAUGUUCAACAUAUUGGGCUUUAUGGACCAUUGCGGUAGACGAUAGUACAUCAUUUUUAUAAUUUUCUUGUGGAUUUGGGUUUUAUACACAUAUAAAAAUAAAUAAUGAAAAUUGAGUGAUUUAAUUUGGACCAAUGAAUAACUAAAGGGCAUAUUUUAAAUCUCGCCCUAGGGUCCACAAUACAUCUGAGCCGGCCCUGCGUUCUUGCCACAUAAAAUUUCCAACUAAACUGAUGUACUCAACACUUCUGUGUUGCACGUCAGACUUGGUUCUUACAAUAACAAGACGAAUAAACCCAACUAAUUGCUUUAAGUUCACAUAAUGCUAAACCGGUAAGAAAGCUUUACAAUACUAACGAUGCUGAGAAUAAUAUGGAGGUGUCUGUUAGAAGGUCGAAAUGGUUCGGUAAUGAGAAAGCAGUCAUUGUACUCCCGCCCCCCGAUUAACCGAACCAGCAAGCGACCACGGACAGUGGACCUGGGUUAUAAUAAGCUGCUCGCCUGUGUAUCCUUUUAGUGUUGGGUCCGGAGUUGCAAAGUAACCAGACUGUGUGUUAGCUCGAAGUGUAGUUAGGUCGUAUGAAAUUUUAUUUGAUUCUCAUUGUAAUCCGAUAGCUUAUGCCUUUUUGGAAGAUUAAUAAAAUUUAAAUUUAAAAAUAAAACAUUGUAGGUUUCACUUAAACAUAAGAAAUACAUGGAAAAUCAAGGAUUGGUUUGGUUAACAUGAGCUAAACUGAUAUAUUCAGUUACAACCUUAAACAAUGAAUGGAAGAGAGUUUUGUGAGACUCUAUUUUAAGCAACUUUGGCUAGUAUUGAAGACUCGGUUUUGUGAGACUCUAUUUUAAGCAACUUUGGCUAGUAUUGAAGACUCGGUUUUGUGAGACUCUAUUUUAAGCAACUUUGGCUAGUAUUUUUAAGCACAAGAUCUUGUGCUUCCAUUGUAUCACAAAGACUGGACCCUUUUGUUUCAGGAAGAAGCAAAGCAAACAACCCGAGACCCACCAUUGCUAGCCCAAAAACCGCGAAAGAGAGUGACGGCACAUCUCUUCCAAUCGAAGCAAUGAUUGGAGAACAAGCUCCCGCGACAACAAGCGCUUGUCUAAGCAUCAAUGUCGCGGUGUUCCUCACGCAUGUUGGGAACAGCUCAACCAUAUAAACCGCCAUCAAGUUGAACUGAAUCCUCCCGCAGAAGAAACAAGCGAGUUCAAGAGCGAAAGCAGUGUUUGUCAUCCCCAAAAGGCUCAGAACGAAGCAUAACAUUCCUGAUGCUCCUCCUAUUAAGCAAUUCACAACCACAGAGCUUCUUCUGCUGAACUUCUCUAACAAGAUUGGUGUGAUAACAAAAGUUGGUAACUCCACCACUGCGUUUAGGGCUUCACUCAAGUAGAUAUUCACUUUUAUAUCUCUCACAGCUAAUGGAACUCCGUAAUAGGACAGCCCUGACCCUAACAUUAUGAUCAUAACAACCAAGGUUCUUCGAAAAACCCAUUUUCGGAUGAACAAGUCCUUGAGCGAGUACCUUUGAGCCUGCUCUAUGGUUUCUUUUGAAGGCAACCAAAUAGAUACUGAUUCCAAGUAACCUUUGUUUACAGGUGAAAUCUUCUUAAGCAUUUCAAUGGCUUCUUCGUCCUUCCCUUGCAAAUGGAGCCAACGAGGGGACUCAACGGCGAACAAAUAGAGGAAAAUACAGUAGACAGCCAGCCGCGGGAACAGACGUGCAGAGAUAGACAACUGUCCAAGAAGCGUGUCGGAAAAGAUAUGAGAUUCCAGACAGCGACAUGAAGCCUAACACAAACGGAAUCAUAGUAGCUCUAGGCCUCCACUUGGUGGAAACUCGCUCGCUUAUCAGAACAAAGACAUACGUCCCGACCGGGGCACGCAUUAAUCCGAUAAAGAAUUUCAGGAAAGCGUAGAUCCAUAUGUUGGAGGAGAAGUAAAUAGAGAUUCCAGUGAUUGACAUUGCCAACGUUGUGAAGAAUAGAAGUUGCUUCUGUCCCAAGAAACCGUCUGGGAUCAUAGCCAUGAAAACCCCUCCGAAGAUAGCACCCACGUAGAAAGUCGAUGUGGGGAGACCUCUGAGGAAAGAGCUCGAGCACUCGAGACCGAACUCUGAGAUGACGGAUUUACCCUUGAAACCAUCGUCCCAGUCCCAAGCUGACCGAGGAAUCCCGCAGAUGUCGGAGGUUGCCGGGUUGCAGAUUGUGUGGUCGAGACAGUGCCAUGUGGGAUAUGCAUCUGUGAAGACUGUGAUGAAUAUCUGCUGGGAAUCGAAGGUUGAGGCAAGCCCAACGAGGAUUAUCUGGAGUAUCUGCGACAACCCGAAUUCAGACAAGCUAUGUUCGAGGAUCUUGUCGAAACUGAAAUGAGACGAAGUAUCUUUAUCUUCAGUUUGGGACAACAAUGGUGCUGAAGUAUUAUUAGCCAUUGCUGGUCACGACAAUUGACUUUAUUUUUGAGGAUGUGAGAACUAUUACCACGAAAAAUAAACAAUGCAGGUAUAUAUGUAUAUGAAGUCUGACUUUUUGUUCGCAUUGGUGCUCACGAUACUGAAAUGAGACGAAGUAUAUGUAUGAUAUUUGAAUAGGAAUAUGAAGUGUGACUUUUUGUCACAAAGCAGUUCAAAUCAGCUGGCAAUGCAUAUGGUUAUUUUUAUUUUUUUUCUGAGCAAUAGUUUCAAGUUGAAACCAUGUGCAUAAUCAAGUGUAUAACCUAGAGUUCCGUUAUAUUCAAUUUUAAUCCGAAGUUCGAUCUUAUAUUUGUUUAUAUUAAAAGCGCACCAAACUACGUACAACUAUUAAAAAAAUUUAAAUGGAUACCCGUUAACCAGAUUCAUUUGGUUAAAAGAGCACCAAACUACGAAUAUUAAAAAAUUUAAAAUGGUUAUCUGUUAACCAGAUUCAUUUGGUUAAAAUGGACACCCGUGAAGGGUUCUCCUCCUCUUCCAUUAACCAGGCUCAAAAUGAUAUCAGAACGAAUUAUCUAAGUUAUUGGUUAAGAUUCAGCAGAGAAGAUGGACACAUAUUGCUUCAGUACAUAAGACAAUAUUGUUGAACACAUACCACUAUAUAUGGGAAUUGGAAAUCUCUCAUGAAGCAAUCAAUUCGAGAAAAUAAAUGAGGAUGAGUGAACCAAUGUGAAAAUUAGAUGGGAUGAGCCUACCAUAAUCAUGUCAUAUGAAAAUGAGUCUAAACCAAAAGUUGAAUGAACAGAAGCAGAGAGAAGUGUGCUAAAGUAUAACGUAAAAGGUUUGUAAGCGAUUUUUGAUGUUGUUGUUCCAACUGAUUUAUAAAAGUGUGUCUUCUAAAGAAGCAUAUAAGAUCAUGCUUAAUUCAUUUGAAGGAUAUGAUACUGUCAAGAUGAUGCGGCUUAACCAUCUUCCCUUGGUGUCUGAGAAUAUCAAGAUGACAGAUGAUGACUAUAUGGCAAGCUUCAGUGACAAACUCAGUUCUAGUGCUCAUGAUGCAUUUGUUCUUGGAAGAAAUAUAAGGAAAAUAAGCUGAUGACGAAGUUGCUAGCGGCUUCCAGCAAAGUUCACAGCUCAUAAGGCGGGCUUAAACCUACUAUGAACACUAUGAAAUCAAGUUUCAUAAACCUGUCGGUAUGAUGAAGGCAGCUGGUAUUCAGUCACUACUUUAAUAAAUGUGGACUCACGGCCAAUCAAGGUGAUGAUAUACUUCUGAUGAUUGAAGAUAACAUGGGUAUGUUGGCUAGAAUAUGUCUUCAAGAAAAAUAAUAUGUUCAAUUCUAAAUAAUGAAGUUAUACAUAUAUAUUAAUAUGGAAGUUGUCUUUGAAGAGCUCAUAUCUAGGGGUUUAUUGGGAGAUUGUGGGGAAGAUUAUAAAAUAACCUAAUAACAUUUAAUCUGAUUUUAUAGAAGAACUAAACUCAAGGGUGAGUAUUUUAGGGUCGUGAUGAGUCAGGUGUUAACGUAUCUGACAACAAAGCGACGUAAGCUUAGAUAGCUUAUAAAUCUUUCAGUUGAAUUAGAGUAUUGACAAGUUGUGUAAAACUAAUUUAUUAAGUUUUGUAAUAAAAUGUUUAAUAUGAUUUCUUAUAAAGAAAAUGUGUUUGCUAAAUCUACAUUGUUUCUUUUGUUAUCUUCUGCACUAUUGUUCUUCUUCCUUUUUUCACUAUUAUACUAUUUAUCAUCUUGCACUUACUUAUAUUUUUGCCUUCAGGACUCUUGAAUAAGAGAUUCUUCUGCCUUUUUUCAUAAAACAAUAAGGUAUACCAAUCUUACUUAGUAAACCCAAAAUGCAUGAAACUUAACAACUAGUACUUGUUUCCGACCUUCAGGUUCGAGGUUUCUUUCGCAUGACUACCAGUUACGUUCACGUUAUUUUAACGAAGCGAGAACCCAUGCAUUUUGCAUUAUGCAAAGCAAUAUGAACCCAUACCCAAUAAAUACCAAAACGAGAUUCAAAUGUUCCUUAGAAAUUAUAUUAAACACAGUAAAAAUUCAAACAACUUAACAUAUACAAAUAAUUAACUAGACAUGAAGAUCAUGGUCUUGACACUCAUGGUUUUCGUCAUACUUCUGACAUUGUUUCCGGCUCCAAACGAAGCGGCAGACACAAAUGUGGAAGCAGCAUGUGACCCAAAGCAGCUUCAGCCUUGCCUGGCCGCGAUUACUGGAGGAGGACAGCCCUCGGGUGACUGUUGUGCAAAGCUGAAGGAGCAACAACCAUGCUUGUGUGGGUUUUCUAAGAACCCUGCUUUUGCUCAGUACAUUAGCUCUCCCAACUCUCGCAAAGUCCUAACCGCUUGUGGUAUUCCUUACCCAAGUUGUUAAAACUCUUAAGAGUUUUUACAAAUAAAUAAAUAACGAGUAAGGAAGAUGAAUAAAUUAUAUCUAGCUGUUUUUUAUGAAAUAAAAUAACCGUUAGUAUGUAAUGUUUAUAUGGUUAAAUAAAGUUUACCUUCUCAUAUUAUUUUGUGGCGUUCUAGGGUAAACUGAGUCUAAUGCCAAAACACUCCAAAGGAUCAAUUUGAUAUUAAAUGUUCAAAUAAGUAGAAAAGUGUAAUGGAAAAAAAUUGGUACAAAAAAUUGGUAACAAAACUAUAAACUGGUAGAAUUUAUAGAGAUUAAGAACGUAAUCGACUAAGAACUAAAGUAAGAGGAUUAGUAUUAACAAUGACAGUUAUCAUGCUUUUGUUUCAUUAGCCUAAAGCAGAGGCAGGAAACAAAGACCUUAUGGACCAUGUUGUAAACUUGGAAGUCUCCAUCUCCUACAUGUUCCAUGAAACACAACAUACCUCCUCUGUUAUGUUGUACAUGAAUAGAAUUACUUCUCCAACUUUUAUGAAGAUGAAAAAAAAUCAACCGUUAUCUAUGGGUUUAUCAGCAAAAAGAAAAUCAAAAGAAAAACCAACAUAUACCAGUAGAAAUCUCAAGCUAUAGCCACAGAAUAAUCACAAAAUAUGUGUGGCUAUUUUAAAAAGUCACGAAAAACCAUGAAAUAAAAAAUGCAAGAUGCCUAAUAUUUACAAGAGACAAUGUGUGGAACAUCCCCAAUUAAGGUCUAAAUUUGCGGAAUGCCUAUAAUUAUGGAUAAUCCAAAAAGGAGUAACUUUUUGACACUGUGCAGACGAAAAUGCCCUUAUGCUUUGUCGAAAACAAGUAACUCUAAAUUUAUCAGCUAAAUAGUUAUAUAGCAGUUAACAAUCUACAUACCAACUAACAUAUCCGCUAAUAAUUUCAGUAUUAUCUAACAAUCUAUGUAUCAAACAAAUGUAUCGACUAACAAAUCAUAUAUCAGUUAAUGAAACUAUUAACAAUUAAUUAGUUAUCUAUUAAAUAGCUCUAAAUCUAUUUGUAACAGCUAACACUUCAUGUAUCGAUUAAGAAUCCAUUAAAAUCUAAAUAAUAGCAGGUAAGUAAUAAAAUACCUACUAACGUAUAUAUUAUCUAAAAGUUGAUUGUGAUUCGAAAUUGGAAACAUUGAAAUUGGGGUGAGAUAAUAAGAUUAGCAUUAUGAGUGUCAAAAGAAUCAGAAUAAAAAAAUAAAGAUUUGUGUUGAAUUAGAAUAUGAUUUGAAGAAUUUGUAAGAAAGAUAAAGAGAUUAGAACACAUAAAGAAAGAAAGAAGAGAGAUAGAGAUAAGCGUAUUAUAGUCACUAAAAAUAUUAAAAAGAAACAAGUUUAUAUGGCAAAUUACAUACGUUUCUGGGUGCAUCUACGCCAAUUACUCUAUUUACAAUGCUAUGGUGGUUAAAGAUCGAUUGGCCAUUCAUAUCUGAACAGUAGCAAAAAAAAAAGUUUGAAAUUGCAUGGAACAGAACGUGACUAAAAAUAGCUAUGUUUUAGCUACGACAAUUUUGUGGCACACUAGUCAUUAGUCACGAUAUACAACGUGAUUAGACCACAAAAUACCUUUUUACCAUGAUUUAAUCACAGACUAUUUUAAAACUAAUCAUGAAAUGCUCUGAUUUUUCCGUGACUAUUUGAAACCUUAUAUUUUAGCUAACUUUUGAAAUAUCAUUAAACAGAAGUGAAGAGUGUAAAACGAAAGCUAUCUCUCACAAUAAGCUACUACUUGAUUUGGUCACGACCACGUAGGCCUCUUUGAUCGUGUUUUGCUUCAUCCUCCCGUUAUAAUCCUUUCCGUUUUUUGAACUUAUAUUUCCUUAAUGAAAAGGUGCUUAACGCACAAAACUAAAAUUAUUUGUAUAAUAACGAAAGAAAAAACUAUACAGGUAUUCAGUUGGAACUCAUAUAUUUUUUAUAACCCUGAUUUAUUAUGAUAUUACAAUUAUAAGAAAGAUUAUAUAGACGAUUCGACAACCGACAAUACUACAUAUUUUAUGAUAAUAUACACCUAACUGCAUCAUCUGAGCUGUCUUAUGAAGACCCACGUCUGACCGGAUUUACUUACAGUAUGUUGAAGAUUUCUUGUAAGUAUUUUUUCGUAGUCUAUAUAAUUAUUUAAUAAAUCAUUUUUUCUGGGAAUUGAAACUUGGAUCUCAUAUAAUAUGAGAUAUGUCAAAAAUUACAUAGCUUGAGAUUCAAAUCUCAAACCUGGAUAUAAAAGCUUUUAAAUCUUAACCACUAGGUUGUGAUGCUUACCCUUGGAAAUACUAUAUAGUUUACAUGUUUUUGUAACAAAUAGCUAAAUGAUGUGUGUGUUAAGGUGAGGAUAAACUUUCCUAAAACGAUUACCAAAAAUAAAUAAACAAACUUUCCUAAAACCACUUGUUUUCUUAAAGAUUUUAUAUUUUGAUUUAUCCACCUGUCGGAACGCAUGAUCGUAUUUUAUAUUCUGCAUUCGGAACACAAGACUAUAUUGUAUAAUCGGCGGCUUCGCGUAAGGAAGCAUGUCAUUAUAAUUUUAUAUGAAUUCACCCACGUGGGAAGAUAUAUAUUAUAGCUUUAAAUUUACUCAACGUAGGAAGCAAGGAUGUUAUUAAAUUCAUUGAUUCUUGACCGAUGCCAGAUAAUUCACAAAUUUUUGAUUCUGACCGUGACUGAAUGUGUUGUUUCCUUUGUAAUAUAAACUAGGUUAAGCUUGCGCGGAAUGAACAUUAUAUAUAUAAAUUAUUUUAUAUAUUAUAUGUUUAUAACAUAUUAUAAAAUAAUAAAUGUAUCUUUUAUUUUUGAUACUUAUUAAAUUAUACUUUCAACUUAUAUUAUUUUUUAAUUAUUAUAUCAUGCCAUAACAAAAGUUUUAAAUCAUAGAUCACAAAAUUUGAAUGUGAAACUUUUAACAGUUUUAGUAAUUUAUACUCGUUUUAAAAAAUUCAAAAUACAAUAUAUAAAUAAUUUUUUAAAUUUUUAUUAUAUGGUUACUUUGAUUGUUUAUUUUAUUUUAAUAGCUUAAAAUUAAACAAAUAUAAUUAUAAUACACACUUAUUUUUAUCAAAUUUUUAUUAUUCAAAAUCAUUAAUUGUCAUAUAUACUUUAGCCACAUUAGGCAAUUCCAUAAUCUUAUUUAAGGAAAUAAUGAAGCAUAUUAAUAAUGUAUUUAUUGUGGUUUAAUAAAAAGUUUAUUAGAUAUUUAGAUGGACCAACCUAUUUCUCUAAGAAUUCUAAGAAUUAUUCUAGUGAUGACACGUGGCUACAAAAAAAAUGUUGCAAUGCUUCUCAAAUAAUAUAUAGGAGAUACUUCUUAUUCUUGUUUCUUUUUUUUUUCUUUGAAAAAAAAACUUCUUCUUGUUAACAAAUAACAACUAAUAAUACUCUCUUUUUGUCACCAACCAAUAAUGAGUAAAUGUCAAUUCUAUGAGUUAUGUUUUUAUACAAAAAUGAAGGUUAGGUCAGGUAUUAUAAAAUAAAAUUACAGGAAAAUAAACAAUUAGAGCAAAGAACCUUCAGAAUUACGGGAGUGUCUCUUGUGUGCGGGCUCGGAGGAGUCAAGACAGCAUCUAUUUUUUGAAUGUGCAUACAGCUUUGAGGUUUGGUCUUUCUUUUGCUCACGCCUUCAUCUCUCGCCUCCCACUUUGUUUGAAGAGUGCUUGAGAUGGCUGAAAGACCCAACACCAAAUGCUAAUGUGUUGCUCAUUGUAAGGCUGAUCUUUCAAGCUGUUAUCUAUGUGGUUUGGAAGGAAAGGAACUCGAGAUUGCACACGAGAUUAUGUAGACCACCUCAGGCAAUCAUUCAAGAAAUUCAGCAAACUAUCAAGCUCCGACUAGAUCCACUGUCUCGAAGUUUAAGGAUGUCUUACUCAGCGACAGCAACAACUCCUCUUGGUUUUUGGUUAAGUAUUUUUUGAGGGCUCUUUUUUGAAAGUCCCUACCUCCUCUUGUUGGGUGAUUUUUUUUGUAAAGUUAGGCUUAGCUCUAACUUUUCGGUCAACUGCAGACUUGUAACCGAAUUUUUUUGGUUGCAUUAUUAAUGAAUCGGAAUUUAGGUUAAAAAAAAAGAAUUAAUAAAUUAACAGAAGGAUUGGGUGUAUGAAAUUAUCUAUAUCGCAUACAUAUUGGUUGAGUUAAAUACUUGAAAACAAUCAAAUAACCAAUGUUCAAAUAGCAUUGACACUUUGACAGGACGUAAUUGGACGUCUAGUCGUCUACCGAAUUAAUAAAAGAUAAAAGUGGAUUACUUUCAGAAUUGUUAUAUCUGUGUGGAUAAGUGAUAGUACAUUAUUUGCAAACCUAAUCCUGAUUUUUUGUUACACUCUUCUUAUCCACGCGUAAUUUACCGUUUUUACUCGUUUUCUUACUUUUACUCGAAACUUUAACUAUAUAGACAUCAAGUUACAGUAUAGUUUAAAUUUAAGACAAAAUAAAAAAACGAUAUUUUCGUACGUUUUUAAUAUUUCUAGGUCCUAUGAGACCAUGGAAGCCGUGUCUGAGAAUAUAGCCAAUAAUGUUGCCAUUCAUAUCUUUCUCUUUUUUAAUUAGUAUAGGGACUAUGAACAUAUUUCACUUCUCUAAUGACAAGGCCGACCCACAUCAUUGGACGGUAAGGAAUCACUGCUUUAAUAAAAAGGAACGAUUAGGAAAAAAAUAUGGAGAGAUGCCUUUUGACAUGUUGACAGACCAUGAAAAUGUUUAAUGGUAUGAUACAUUUUAACAAUCGCAUGAUUUAUAUUUUGACCUUGCAAAAAAAAACAUGAGAUGAGUUUAGGACAUUGACAAUUUAAUAAGCAUCAACACAUAUACGGAACAGUGAAAGAUGAAGAGGUCAAUAAUUGCUGGAGAAAAAAGUGGAGAGACUGUUGGCUCUUUCUCGGCUAUAAAUUUAGCUUUCGUUUCUUUCCAUCUAUCAACUCAAAACUGAGACUUCAAUUCUCUGCCUGUUAAGGUCACGUAAAAGAUGGAGAACUCUAGCCUGAAGGAUCUUUCACGAAUACUCCCUCGCGUCCUUGUCGUCUCUAGACGCACCCUUCGCAAGAACAAAUUUGUUGAUUUCGUUGGUAAUAAUUUGAUUAAUUUCUUGAAAUGUUCUAUCUUUUGUUAAAACAAAACAUUUUUGGUGGGUUUAUGUUGGAUUUGUAUUUGUUUUUGGUAGGUGAAUACCAUCUUGAUCUUAUAGUCGAGUAUGGUGCUGUCCCGGUGGGAACAGUGAAAGAUGAAGAGGUCAAUAAUUGCUGGAGAAAAAAGUGGAGAGACUGUUGGCUCUUUCUCGGCUAUAAAUUUAGCUUUCGUUUCUUUCCAUCUAUCAACUCAAAACUGAGACUUCAAUUCUCUGCCUGUUAAGGUCACGUAAAAGAUGGAGAACUCUAGCCUGAAGGAUCUUUCACGAAUACUCCCUCGCGUCCUUGUCGUCUCUAGACGCACCCUUCGCAAGAACAAAUUUGUUGAUUUCGUUGGUAAUAAUUUGAUUAAUUUCUUGAAAUGUUCUAUCUUUUGUUAAAACAAAACAUUUUUGGUGGGUUUAUGUUGGAUUUGUAUUUGUUUUUGGUAGGUGAAUACCAUCUUGAUCUUAUAGUCGAGUAUGGUGCUGUCCCGGUGAUUGUACCACGAGUAGCUGGCGUUGACAAGUUACUUGAAAGCUUCAAACCCAUCCAUGGAGUUCUCCUCUGUGAGGGAGAAGACAUCGACCCUUCUUUUUACGAGUCAGAAAUAUCGUCUCUUUCACCUGAAGAACUCGACGAGAUCCGGAAAACACAUGCGAGUGAUGCAGCUAUAGACAAGGAAAAAGACUCUAUUGAGUUUGCCCUUGCAAAGCUAUGCCUUGAACAGAACAUUCCUUACUUGGGAAUUUGCAGAGGAUCACAAGUAAGUUAUCCUCCAGAAUUUGAACAGAACAUAAAAAAAAAAAAAAAGAAGUUAUCCUCCAGUUUUUCUACAAAAAAAAAGUUAUCCUCCAGUUGAAUGUUAGUUAACAAUUUAACAUAAUAUUAUAAUACCGUAACCCAUGACGUAGAGUUUUAUAUUUUUAUUGUAAAUAGUAUAGUAAGAAAUAAAAAAUUUCAGAAGAUGAGAAAACUACUUAGAAAUAUAAACUAAACUAACUUGACAAAAUAUAUAUUCAAAACAUAUCUGUUUUUGAAGCCUUAAAUAAUUUAGUAAUAGAGGUUAUAAUAAAAAAUUUAAAACAAUUUGGAGAGCCUAUGUUCUUAUAUACUAACUUGAAAAGUUUUUGAGAUCCCAAGCCAAUAAUAUUUCACUUAGCUAUGUAUGCCCAAAAACCGGCUCUGACUAAAAACCUUAAGUUAUUGGACUAAAUUUAACUGAAUAUUAACGGAUCCGACGAUGAAAUUUGUAGGUUUUAAAUGUUGCUUGUGGGGGGAGUCUAUAUCAGGAUUUGGAGAAAGAGGUCACAACUAAGCUCCCCGAGGAACAUAGAAGAAAGCACAUUGAUUAUGAUGACUAUGAUGGUUAUAGACAUGAGGUGAAGAUAGUAGAGAACAGUCCUUUGCAUAAAUGGUUCAAAGAUUCCUUGGAUGAAGAAAAUAUGGAGAUCUUGGUCAACAGUUAUCAUCACCAGGGGGUUAAGAGAUUGGCUCAGAGAUUGGCCUUUGCUCCCGAUGGAUUGAUCGAAGGGUUUUAUGAUCCUGAUAUGUACAAUCCCAAAGAGGGCAAGUUUCUCAUGGGUUUACAGUUCCAUCCAGAGAGGAUGAGAAAGAAUGGUCUCGAAGAAUUCGAUUUCCCCGGUUGUCCUGGUGCUUAUCAGGUUUGUGGAUUUUGAACUCAACAUUUUCUUGAUUGAUUGAGUUCAUAUUCUCACAUAUGUGGUUGCUUUUUUUUUCUUUCAAAUAUGUGGUUGUUUAUUGACAGGAAUUUGCGAAGGCAGUUAUUGCAUAUCAAAAGAAAGUGAAUAGCUCAUUGUCUGUUCCUAAAAAAUUGGAACUCAAUCCAGAAAUGGAAAACAAAAGGAAGAUACUUGUCAGGAGCUUCUCGCUUGCAAGGUCUAUGUACACCAGAUCUUAUUCGAUGAAGAACCAAUCUACUGAAUCAGAACUCGACGUUGGAGCUGAGUUUCUUGAGGUACAUAAUAACCAAACCAUUUUUUAUAGUUCAACAUGAUCUUAAUCCUUGUAUUUUUUUUUGUCAUCAAUCCUUGUUAUACCCGCCAACCAAAAAGGUUAAGAGCACAUUUUGGCCUUUCGCAGCUUCAAGUGUUGAUAAUUUUGUUUCUCAAAAGAAAAAGUUUUCCUGUUAGAUACAGAAUACUUAAUAUAAUUAUUUUAUAAAGUCUUUUUAAAUAUAUAACUCUAAAUAAUUCAAUUUACUCGAUUCGAAUGCAGUUUGGCCAGUUCCAUUUUUCUUCUAUAUAAAAAUGUAGUGUUUUGCAAAUAACUUGGAUGGACUUCGUUUCGAUGAAUUUCAAUUAAUUUUAUUUUAUUUAUUGUCUAUAUGAUAAUAAUGAUAUAUGGUAUUGAACUUCCAAAGUCGACGGAAAUGCGACUCGAUGACUAUAGCUUGACCCAUGUUGUUUUUUUUGGUUUGAUGUGGAUGUAGUCAAAUACGGCUUUAAGUAUGGAUCAAGAGAUGAAGCUGAGAGAGAUGGGAGCGACGAUGAGGAACGGAGGAUCAUUCACGCAAAAGCUAAGGCCUGAUGAGGAUAAGCAGAGGAAGGCAAUGAACAUAAUGAAGAAGAUGAACGUGGAGCGACUCUCUGAGCUCAUUGCUUUCUAUUCCUUGAUGGGGAAGAUCUCUAGUGAGGUAUUGGAGAGAAAGCUUAAUGGCUCACUCGAUGACCACAGUCUCACUUCGCAAUGACGUCAGUAACGCUGAACGUUAAAAUUUGGUUAUUUUAUUAUUGGUGUUUAAACUUACUUUCUGCAUUGAAAAAGUAUUGUAUGAUUUACGUCAAUAUAAGCAUACGGCUUUUCAUGAAAGUUGGUUAUGCAUGAGUGAUUAUGAAUGUACUUUGACUAAAUAAAUUGUAAUAGUUGAUAUUUUAAACGAGUAAGAUAUUACUCCUUGCGUUUCAAUUUAGUUGUCGUUGUAAAAUAAAAUUUUUGUUUCAAAAUAAGUGUCAUUUUAUAAUUUCAGCUCAAAAUUUAUUAACUUUAUAUGAUGUUCUAUUUUUCUAUUGGUUGAAAUGUGGUUAUGUGUAUAUGUAAUGAUGUUUUUAUUCAAAAAAUAUAUCAGAUUAUAUAUUUUUUCAAUCUAUGUGUACAAACCUUAAACGAUAACUAAAAUGCAAUGGAAUGAGUAAUUUUUAACAUAAAUGCCGUUAGUAGCCAUGUGGUGUUGUCUCCACUCAGGCUAUGGCCUAAACUCAUUCUUUACUGAGUUCAAGUUUCUUAAAACAAACUUGUGCAUUGGAAGGCUGGAUCUAGGUUCGGCCGAAUUGAAUACCUGGUGUGGACUCAUCCCUGAUUCCCUGUAUGUAAUUAAUCCAGCGGCUAGCUAGUUUGUACCCGGAUUACUCAUAGUUCACAAUUUUUUAAACAUAAACAGUAUUUUUUUUUUCUUUUAUAAAUAUGCAAGGAGAAAUGUAAAAACUCGUUUUGAAACAAUUAAAACUAAGUGUAAUAUCAUUAGAUACAGAAGAAAAAAAAAGAUUAAGGUCAAUUUUCAUAACAACCAGAAGUUUAAGUCUUUAAAAGAAACAUCCACAAGUUUUUUUCAUUACUUCCCACAAGUUACGACAAAGAUAUAUACGUAACCGUGGGGACCAAGUGAAGAUAAAGUGAAAUGGAUUGGAAACGCAUGAUUCAUAAAUGACUAAAAUAUCACGUCCGUUCCCAUCCGUAACACGUCGGAGACACCACUAACGUCCAAACAAGGUUCAUGUUAAAAUAAUAUUCCACACAAAAAAAAACUUUAGAGUCCUAUUACGUUCGAAGAAAAAUAGAUAUUUUUCUGUCCGAGGACGAACCCUCUAUCAAUUAGAAAAACUUUGUCACCGCAUAUUGUCUACAUUAACUAGUUUUUCUAGUUGCGCAAAAAACAAAAAAACAGAACUAGUCUCACUAUCAUUUCUAAAUGUCUCCAGGAUCAGACAACUAUGCCCAAUGUUUCUCACGCCGCAACAACAAUCGAUUUCGUUAUCUUUUUAUAGUUAAUAUCAUAGUUUUAGAAUCUUUUACAUAUGUGUUUUGAGUCUUUAUGAGUCAUUGUAGGUUCAAAUACGUUUUAGAGAAAACUAAAAUUUUUGAAGCACUUUGGAACCUGAUGAAGAUGGCAGCUGAAAACAUCAAGUCGGGAACCAUAUUUUGGUCUGGUGUCGAUUGACACCCAUCAAUAGUCUUGGUUGACACCCAUCAUGAAUAAACACUUCCCGGCGAAUUUUAAUUAUAAGUUUCAAGAAAUUGAAUAAUGGUUCAAAGGUUCCACUAUUUGCAAUCAAGUUUUUUUCGUGUUUAAAAUUGUUCAAGUUUUUGAGAGGUGGUGUAUCAUUAUUAAAACUUGGAACGAGAUUCUUACUUAAGGCUUUCCGAGAGACAAUCAUAACUCAGCAGAUAAGAUUAUGAACUUUUUUUUCAUUGAUCAUGUUUGAGUGAUCUUCUAAUUAGAUUUAGUUUUUUUCAAAGAUUAAAGAUGAGUUGUUAGAUUGAUAGAUUGUUAGGGUAUUCUUAUAAUUCUUCAUCUCGAUUAUUCUUAUUGCUAGUUUUAGAAUAAUUACCUAGAAUUUAGAUCUUAUGAUAAGUGAUAAACAUGAAAGUGUUAUUGAUUUUCUAAAUUAAUCCUACAUUAGCAAAAUACAUAUCAACAAACAAAUCUGGUUUAGCAAUUUUGUGAACUUAUCAACUUAUGCUUAAUGUUUGUCUGAAUUGUUAAAUUUGCAAAAAAAAAAAAAUAGAAUUUUAGGAUCUAGACUUAGAUAGUUUCUUCAACGAAAGUUGAUUGAUUUGAUUGUUGUGCUUUGAGUUUAAGAAAAUUCUUAAUUGAAUCCUUAACAAUUUGUUUGAUAUGCAAUUCUGAUUUACCGGGAAACUUCUCUAAGUCUAACUCUUUCUCCAAUUGACUUACAGCCGUUUUAUCUCUGUUUUUUACUUGGAUUACCUUCAUAGUUAUUUAUCUUAAUUCAAAAAUUGAUAUCUAUUGAGUGAUUUUGAGUCUAUGUGGAUUCAAUCUUUAAAUACUACGACUGCAUCUCUAAAUUUGCAGAGUAGGUCAUAUAAACUGUAUUUGAGCAUAUGAGGCAAUGCAAAAAGGGAAAAAAAUGAUAGAACCGAGAAGAUGAAGAAGAUGAAAAGAAAUGACGAGGAGUCCCGACGCCUACGAGAAAACACGUUCCGCGCACCGCAAGACAUUUGUCUAAACCUUUUCCUGAUUCUCGUGCGUGAGAGCAGCUUGGGCUUCUGCUUUCUUCUUAUUUAUUUUAUUAACAAUCUUUUGUGUUAUGUAACAAUAUUUUCAAGCAUAAAAAAAAUCAUUACCUCUCUCUAUCUUAACUCUCUCAAAUCUUUCAGAGAGAGAGAGAGAGAGAGUUUUUACGAUCGUCUCUCCGAAGGUCCUCUCCGGCACUUGGCUUGCCCGGCGUUAAGGGCAACAAUUCUGGCACGCCGUGGCUCCUUAUGCCUGGUGUGGUCAACUUUUUCUCCAGGGGUGCUCUUGUCUUCUCGAUGUUGCCAUCCGCCUCUUGGCUUCAUUGACGCUGAUUACGGUUAUUUUUCCGAUGGCGUUGACGGUCUCUACUCUGGGUUCCUCUGAUCUCCGCUUCAAGCUUUUUUUAUUCAUCUGAGCUUUGUUUCCGAAGUUUGCAAAUGGAUCUCCUUACAAAGUGAAGAUUCUUCUGCGGUGGUUUUGGUUCGAUUGGGCUUUCUCCUCUAGGAUUUUCUCUUGGCUUCUGCGGACUUAGCUCUCUGCUAUGAAGUUCAGGCGACUAAAACCAGUUUUGUUUGCUUCGAUUAAGGACUAAAUUCAUCUCGAUGUCUCUUCUUCCUUGAUAUCAUGUUAUGAUGUGUUUCGGUGGAUGGUCCGAAAGUAGUUCGGUGAACACGGUGGCUGAUCGGAGUGAUGUGUGUCUCCUCGUUUGCUGACCCUCUCACGCAUGUCUCUUAUACACGGUAAUCGUAACACGUGGCCAGUUGAUUCCAAUUUCCUUGGGCUUCUUUUUGUUUGGGCUCUUGGGCUUCCUAUGGCUUUUCUUUUUCGCCUUCGGGCCUGUUUUUUUUAGUUUGUUGUCUUGAGCUUUUGACCUUUGUAAAGGGAGUUUUUAUAUUAAUACAGAUGACAAAAAAAUAAUAAUUUCAAGCAUACUCCAAAAACUGCUAGGUGAGAAGAUUUGUUCAUAUAUUUUCAUAUUGACUUUUAUAUUAGUUAUGUAAAAUGCAAUCAGCCGACUUUUGUGCCAAUAAUAACUAAAUACUCUGAUGUAGUCACCGAUUAGGAAAUUCAAAAUGGUGUUACUUGACCAAUAUAGUACACAUCAGAAAGAGAUCUCUAACGAUAUUUCAUGUAAGUUUGUCCGUCACUGUGUUUUUUAUUUUUGGAAUAUGUUGAAUUGUAAAGUGGAAGAAGAAUUUUUUAGAUCGUUAAAUUUUCUCCAUGUGGGACGCAAAAGCUGGUCAUUCUAUCAAUGUAGACAUCAUUUUCAUCCUUAAAAAGUGCUAGAUUUUGAUCUGCGCGUCCACGCGGGUGUAUUUUUUUUAAAAAAAUAUGAUGCUAUUUGAAAUAUACUCAAAACUCCAAAAAUACUUAAAUAAUUAGUAAUUCUCUAUCCAAAUAUUUAAACCAAACUAAUUUAAAUUGGUUAUCCAAAUCUGAACCGAAUCCUCAAAUAUCUGAACCGAACACGAAAUCCCAAACAUACCUGAAAACGAACCCGAACGUCCACCCUUAAUCACUAUUAUAUAUCCUAUAUGUGAUGUUACAAAAAUAUGUGUUAUCAUAUAAUUAAUCGUAUUUUAUACGUACCAUCAAAUAAAUUUUUUUAUAAUUAAUAAAAUUUUAUACGUAAAAUCAUAUAAAUAAUCACAUAUAUUAUAUUUUUUAAUUUCAAUGUGAAAUAUAAAAACCAUCAUUUAAGUUGGUGUUUCAAAACCAUGGAAAAUAUGUUAGUAAAAAAUCAAAUUUUGAAUAUAUGUAUAUUUUUGAAUGAAUAUUUUAAUACAAAUCAAUUUUUAAUUAUUAUUUUGAUUUGAAUAUGUAUAUCAAGUAACAUAAAUCCGUUACUUAUUAAUAUAAUAUAAUGAACUUUCAAUUUUUUUAAAGCAUAAGUUCAUUACUUUUUUUCCCUAACUUACUACUAUCCAUGUUUCGAAACAACACUAUUUUUUUAACAGCUAUCUAUGUUGUCAAACAAAAAUUUAAAGUAGCUCUACUUUAAUAAGAUAAAUGUAACGGAUUUCCAAUUUUUUUAAUAGCAUAAGUCCAUUACUUUUUUUUCCUAACUUAUUAUUAUCCAUGUUUCGAAACAACAUUAUUUUUUUAACAGCUAUCUAUGUUGCCAAAAAAACUUAAAGUAGUUCUACUUAUUUUAAUAAGAUAGAUGUUGUAAAUAUUUCAUAACCCAAAUGAAAACUUCACAUUUGCAUGUAAAUACAAUAAGCUAUUAAAUCAAAUAUUUUGUAACGAAAAAUACCGGAAACGGAAUGCCAUCUAUUUAUUUAUGUAUAUUUUUAUAAUUUCGAGGAAUAUAGUAUGAUAGAAUCGUUCAUAAAUUUUAAGCAACAUCAUAAAUCAUGUACUAAAUAGUGUUCCCAGUCAUAUGCAACUCGAAUGUGAGACGUACAUCAUCUACUACCUUGGACACUUUGCAAAAUGCCUGUCAUGUUUCAUGCGCCAUAUAGUGAUCCGCAAAUUUUCUUAAAAGAGUGUUUUUCACAAUGGUAAGAGAAGUCUUUCAAUGUUUAGCUUGGAGAAGAAAAAAGGAGAGAAACAAAUAACAAAAAGUCUUUCAACGUAAACCAAUACUGACAUCUUAACUUCACUUCUGUGCUUAAGUAUUUGACCUGGUCCUUAGGAUCUCCAUCAUUUCCACCUCAUUUCUAUAAUGUUGUCUCUUAUUAAAUCACUUCCUCCCCAACACAAACCAAACCCAAAAGAACACACCGUACAGAUCAAGAAGAUCAUGUAUUAUCUUCCCACUUCUUCUAUGGUCCUGUUCUGCAUCUUCCUCUUAUUUCACCCUCUUCUUUGUGCUUCAAGUAAACAAGAACUUGGAAGGUGUGAGACCCUGUUUCAGUGUGGGAACAUCACGGCCGGUUUUCCUUUCUGGGGCGGGAAUCGUGACAAACUCUGCGGUCAUCCAUCGCUGGAGCUUCACUGCAACAAAGACAUCACCUCUUUAUCCAUCUCAGAUCAAGAGUUCCGUGUUCUACAUAUAAAUCAAUCAUCUAACACUCUUAGACUUGCCAGAACAGACCAUAUGGGUUCUUUUUGCUUCUCUAACUUCACCAACACAACCUUGCCUCCAAAAUUAUUCAAGCUUUCCCCAACCUACAAGAGUGUCACAGUAGUUUAUCAUUGCAACCCUUUUCGUCUCCACGUUCAGGGAUAUAAAUGCCCCGAGACAGGUAUGAUCUUUGUGUCUGACAACCCUGAAAAUUACAAUUUCUGCCUUGCCGGUUUCACCGCGAACGUUCCUAGGAGUUUCGUUGCAAAAAGGAAUGACCUGGCCGAUUUGGAAAGUGUCCUAAAGAAAGGAUUUGAGGUGAAGGUGGAGGUGAAGAUCGAUAAGGGCGAGUAUGAGCAUGAUAAACAGGGUCCACUCCAUCCACAAACUGGUAAGUUUCUUAUGCAUCACUAUCAUUUCCUUAAAAAAAUUAUGCUGAAGUAGUGGUUCUACUUCUAACAAGGUUAAGACAUGUAGUAUGAGCAUGGUGGUUAACUCGAGAUAUUUUAUUGAGUAUUUAAAACCUUAAUCUUUGACAUAUCAAACAAAUAGUAAGCUAUCUACGCUCAAAGUCAUCUGUUCCGAUUUUUAGACAAAGCUUACUAGUGAGGUUAAAAGAUAAGGUGAUACAAGUUAUAAACUCAGUUGCUUUAGUGUUCCCACUUCCCAUAAUCAUCGGCAGUUCAAUGCUGAGAUGUAACUGCUUAAAUAGUGUCUUUUACAAUAGUAUCAGAAGUAUUUCGAAGUUUUAGCUGAAACAAAAGAGUUAAACAAAUGAUAAAAAGUCUUUCCCCUAAGUCUCCGCUUGUGUCAUUUUCCCACUUGACUUAGUCUUCUGUCACUCUUUCCACACAAUCUUUAUGCUUAUCUCUCUCCCCCUCUAUUUCCUUAAAUCACUUCCUCUUUUCCUCUCAACACAAAACCAAACCAAAAGACACACUAGUGUCCAAGAACAGGAAUCAAUCAUGUCCUGUCUCCCCACUUCUUCUCUUGUCUUUUUCUCCCUAUUCUUCUUCUCCAACCAUUUUUCUUGUGCUUCAACUAAAAAAGAACUUGGGUGGUGUGAGGCUAUUUUUGAGUGUGGGAACAUCACCGCUGGUUUCCCCUUCUCCGGUGGGAGUCGUCCCCAGUUUUGCGGUCAUCCAUCUCUGGAGCUUCACUGCUUUAAAAACAGUACAUCUAUAGUAAUCUCUAACCAUCUGUACGAUGUUCUUCACAUAGAUCAAACAUCUAAGACUCUUAGACUUGUUAGAGCAGAGCUUGGAGGCUCUUUUUGCACCGCUACAUUCACAACCACAACUUUGCCUCCCGAAAUCUUUGAGCUUUCACCAACCUCUCAGAGCCUAACAGUUUUCUACCUCUGCGACCAUAACUUUAGUUACAGCUCGAGCUAUACAUGUCCUGAUAGAGGUCCUGUCUCAGUGUCUCAAAACCUUGAUUACCACAAAUACUGCCAAGACAGUUUCACAAUUAAUGUUCCCAAGAGCUACGUACCAGAAGAGAAAGAUUUAGAUUUGAAACGUUUAGAAAAUGCUUUGCAUGAAGGGUUUGAUGUGAAAGUGAAGAUUGAUGAACAAACAUGUGAAGAAUGUUUGUUCUCUCAAGGAAUCUGCGGCUUCAAUAAUACCACACAGAUCUGCUGCAAGAAUGACUCAUCAUCAAGAUGCAAUACACUCCAUAUACCUCGUAGUAAGUUUCUUAUACAUCAUCAUCCUUUCAUAGCCAUCUUCUUUAACAACUUUUAACUGGAGUUGCAUUUAUAAAUAAAUAAAUAAUAACUCGUAGGAUACCCCUUGAUUGUGGAUAUAUUUUACAAGUUUUUCUAGUUCUCCAAACCUAUUUUGUACUUUCUAACAUCAAUCUGCAAGUCUGCAACCACAAUUCAUAAAGUCAAUAAUGCUCCGAGCUUCUUUUUUUUUUUUUUUUCCUUUUGGCUCCCUUACCAAUUAGUUACUAUAUUUUUUGUUUCAAUCUUCUUUUGGUUACCAAGUUGAAGUUCCGAGCCUUAGGACUCAAUUUUUUUUGGUUUCUACCUUCCUUUGUUGAUUUUUACACAUUUAGACGUAGUCACGUCACAUAGCUUACUGGUGAGUUUAAAAGAGAAGGUGAGGCUCUUUCGUUUAAUGCGUUUACUUCUUCUAUCACCAGUCAGUUCCAGUAGUAAAUGGUCUUUUGCUUUUUUUUCACACUCAAUUUCUCAGAAAUUUCUGUAACAGAAAAAACAACAAUGACGGAAAGCGACUGCGUGCUGGUCCUUUUGAGAAAAUUCCAAGCACAUGACUUUGAAGUCGUCGUACAGAAACAUAUAUAUAAUAAUUUAUCAAAGAUGACCCCAACUUUGUAUAGUGCAAAGUGGGAACUCAUUUUAUAUAUUCUAUAAACUACGAAGAAAAAAAACUCGUUUAAAUCACUAUUCCUUUUCAUCGUUUACCAAUAUGCAUUCAAAGUCUUCGUUGCAAGCCACCUAAUUCCAAAGAACCUUCGAUUUUUAUAUAAUAUAAAACUCCAGAAAAACAUAUUUAAAACGAUAAUAAGUGAAGAGUUGGUCAAAAGGACCAAAACACAGGUUUCAACUCUUACAAAACUAAGACAUUCAUCAAUUCCUUCAUAUUUUCUUUCUUCACCAUUUUCCUAUUUGAUCUCCAACACAAUGAUCAAUCUCUUUUUAUCCCCAUCAAAAUCUAUGUUGUCUAGAAUCAUAUGGACGCUGUUUGUGAUCCCAUCUUGUGUUUUCGCAGUAGAUGAACUUCACCAACGCUGCAGUGGCCCCUUUAGCUGUGCCAACAAGGAAGAACUCUUUUACCCGUUCUGGAAAUCUGGCAGAGAAGACUGCGGCCACCCUGACUUCAAACUCGACUGCAAUGGAGAAUUCGCAGAACUGGACAUGUCCUCUGUUAAGUACAGAAUCUUAAGUAUGAGCUAUGAGGACUCUCCUGUCAUUAGACUUGCCAGAUCGGAUUAUAUAGGCCAUCUUUGUCCACCAGAUCCACGAAAUGCAUCACUCAGCGAAAGUAUUCUUCAACUCGUACGUGACACCGAUCUGCUAACUUUAUAUUAUGACUGCAACUACCUUUUACCGCCUGGUUCUGUAGGUAGUUACAUUAGAACUUUUGGUUGUGGGUAUGAAAGAGGCGGUAGAACAAGUUACUAUGUCACGAGAAACCUAUCCUCCCAUUUACUGAAGGGGAUUAGUGACCUUUUGUAUAACUUCACGACACUUUGCAGCAGAAAUGUCAGUAUUCCAGUUUCUAGACAGGCGUUGGACGAAUUAGAGGAGAUUCCAAGUCAAGAUAACUUAGAAAAGGCUCUUGAUCAAGGUUUCGAGCUUGGAGUUAACAAUGAUUGUUCAGAGUGCAUUAAAUCUGGAGGUGCUUGUGGGUAUAGCAAGAACUCAAGUAGUUUCAUCUGCUAUUGUGUAGAUAAGCCGCAUAGCCGUACCUGCAGAGAUACAGGUGAUAUUUUCUUUAUACAUGAUCUCAUUUACUAAUGUUCUGCCACAGUAUCCACCUCUGUUCCCCUUCCUCAACCACCCACCUUUUGUAGGAUUUUCCUCACAUUCUUAGAUUAAUUCACAAAAAAACUCCAUUGGAUUUCAAGUUUUUAGUACAAUUUCUAGUAAGAUAUAAAUUUUCUCUUAAAGUUUAGACUGAGCUUUUCUUUGUGUCCUCUUGUUGAUGCAGGUCUCUCUACUGCCGCAAAAGCAGGUGCUUACCCUUUUUAUAGGAUUUUCCUCCCAUUCUUAGAUUAAUUCACAAAAAACUCCAUUGGAUUUCAAGUGUUUAGUACCAUUUCUAGUAAGAUAUAAAAUUUUCUCUUAAAUUUUAGCCUGACUUUUUUUUUUUUACUCAACCUGUUAAUACAGCAGGCCUCUCUACUACCGCAAAAGCAGGUUCUGACCCUUUUCUUGUUCUAUUUGAUUAAGCUGUAGACAAACAUCAUAGACUUACUAUGAAAAUUGUUUUUGUUUUUGUCUCUAGGAAUCGGAUCUGCUUGUGGGUUGGUGGGGCUCUUUCUUAUAGCCGUAGUAUUGUUCUGUCUCUUCAGACGGAGAAAGAAAACACAGACAGAUCAAUACACAAGCAAAGACUUGCCAGUAACGUCUUACUCAAGCAGAGAAACAUCAAGCUAUCCAACUUCCACAACAAUCUCCAGCAGCAGCAACCACUCCCUUCUCCCCUCAAUCUCUAACCUCCAAAACGGAAGCACCUACUUCGGAGUUCAAGUCUUCAGCUACGAAGAACUCGAGGAAGCCACCGAUAACUUCUCUAGAGAGCUCGGCGACGGCGGCUUCGGCACCGUCUACUACGGUAAUAACCACUGACUCUUAAAAUCUCACUUACAAAAACUUUCCAUUGUUUUUGAAUUAUACAUUAGUAUCUUGGCCCCACAGAAAUGGUCUAGACUAGUCAUGCAACACGUGUCUGUCCCAUCUCUCUGGCGAUGGCGAAAUAUUAAUGUCUAGGUAGCCAGUACUAGGAAAAAAAUAAAAAGAACUUCAUAUUUUAAUCAAACAUCUUUUGUCUAAUUUUCCAAAAGGCAUGUUGAAAGACGGACGAGCCGUAGCAGUGAAACGACUAUACGAACGAUCUCUAAAACGCGUCGAACAGUUCAAGAACGAGAUCGAAAUCUUGAAAUCGCUGAAGCACCGAAACCUCGUGAUACUCUACGGAUGCACGUCGCGACACAGCAGAGAGCUUCUCCUCGUCUACGAGUACAUCUCUAACGGAACUCUCGCCGAUCAUCUCCACGGUGAUCGUGCUCAACCUCGUCCUCUUUGCUGGCCGGUUCGUCUAAACGUCGCCAUCGAAACCGCGAGCGCACUUUCCUUCCUCCACAAGUCAGGGAUCAUUCACAGAGACGUCAAGACAACGAACAUUCUCCUCGACGACGACUACACUGUGAAGGUAGCCGACUUCGGUCUCUCACGGUUGUUUCCAACCGACCAAACUCACAUCUCCACCGCGCCGCAAGGCACUCCGGGGUACGUAGACCCGGAGUACUACCAAUGCUACCGUCUGAACGAGAAGAGCGACGUCUACAGCUUCGGAGUCGUACUCACGGAGCUCAUCUCAUCCAAAGAAGCAGUCGACAUCACCAGACAUCGCCACGACAUCAACUUGGCGAACAUGGCCGUAUCCAAGAUCCAGAACAACGCGUUGCACGAGCUCGUUGACCCGAGUCUGGGGUUCGCGAAGGAUCCGGAGGUGAAGAGGAAGAUGAUGGCGGUGGCUGAGCUUGCGUUCAGGUGUUUGCAGCAGGAGAGGGAAGUGAGGCCGUCGAUGGAUGAGAUCGUGGAGAUUUUGAAACGGAUCAAGGGGGAGAAUCGAGUGGAGUCGUCGUCACCGGAUGUGGUGGAUAUUGAGCGGAGCGGAGGAGAUGACGUUGGACUGCUGAGGCAUUGUCAUAGUGUUCCGCCGCCGAUCUCGCCGGAGACUGAUAAGUGGACGAGUAGCUCGGAUACGGCCGCGAGUUCAUUUUGAGAGACUUAUUAAUUAGGGCCGUUCAUCGGUUAACUUUUUUUUACCUCUGUUUUUCUUUUACUUUUUUUUUUUUUGGGCUCUGUAAUAAUCAAAUGAACCUAUAAGUUUUUUUACCGUUGCAUUGCCUGAAGAUCGUUACGUAUUACUCAAAAUGACUAUAAGAUAACCUGCAUACACUUAAUUUCUAUUUUAGAAAAUGUAAAAAUGGCUUGGAAUAAUUUUGAUUUUAAAGUUUAUAGGGCUUAUUUGCUAUCUAGCCAUAUUUUGAAGUUAAAUUAAGGAUAUGACAUUGAUUUUGACAUUAUUAACAAACUAACAUUUAGCUCACAUUUUUUCUGGUUAUACCUUCACUAGUAACAAGUAUCCAAUCAUAGAGAGAUAGAUGAAGUCGACUGUGAUCUAUGUGGUCCAAAAAGAGGUGAGUUGGUGAUAACUUAUGAAAGAGACCAAGCGCCGAUGUGAAUGGGAAAAGAGUCAGUGUGCUCCUUCAAAUAAUUAGGAUACAUAGUGUUUUUGUUGUUAGAUAUAUAUUCUUUAAAAAAAAAUUUGAUCAAUAGGAUGUAUUUUUCAAAUAAUUUUCUAAAAGCUGCUAUUUACGGAAAGUUUUUAUUUUUAUAUAGAAAUGUUGUAGAUUUGCGAUUUUGAUUUAGAAAUUGGGAUAAAUAGAGUUUUUGUUGUUAGAUGUGUAUUCUUUUAGAAUUUUGAUGAAUAUGAUGUAUUUUAUAAAAUAAUUUUUAAAAGUUGUUAUUUAAGGAAAAUUUUUAUUAUUAUAGAGAAAUAUUGUAGAUUUGGGAUUGUCAUUUAGAAAUAAGGAUAACAAGAAUUUUUUUUGAAAGAUGAUUAUUCUUUAGAAUUUUUAAUCAAUAGGAUAUAUUUUUUAAAUAAUUUUCUAAAAGCUGCUAUUUAAGGAACAUUUUCACUUUUAUGGAGAAAUAUUGUAGAUUUGGGAUUGUGAUUUAGAAAUUAGGAUAACAAGAAUUUUUGUUGAAAGAUGAGUAUUCUUUUAGAAUAUUUGAUCAAUAGGAUGUAUUUUUUAAAUAAUUUUCUAAAAGCUGCAAUUUCAGGAAAGUUUUCUUUUUUAUAGAGAAAUAUUGUAGAUUUGGGAUUGUGAUUUAGAAAUUAGGAUAACAAUAAUUUUUGUCGAAAGAUGAGUAUUCUUUUAGAAUUUUUGAACAAUAGGAUGUAUUUUUUAAAUAAUUUUCUAAAAGCUGCUAUUUAAGGAAAGUUUUUAUUUUUAUAGAGAAAUAUUGUAGAUUUGGGAUUGUCAUUUAGAAAUUAGGAUAACAAGAAUUUUUUUAUGAAAGAGAAGUAUUCUUUUAGAAUUUUUGAUCAAUAGGAUGUAUUUUUAAAAUAAUUUUCUAAAAACUGCUAUUUAAGGAUAGUUUUCAUUUGUAUAGAGAAAUAUUGUAGAUUUGGGUUUGUGGUUUAGAAAUUAGGAUAACAAGAAUUUUUGUUGCAAGAUGAGUAUUCUUUUAGAAUUUUUGAUCAAUAGGAUGUAUUUUUAAAAUAAUUUUCUAAAAGCUGCUAUUUAAGGAAAGUUUUUAUUUUUAUAGUGAAAUAUUGUA